GAUCUUGACUCCAUGCAUUGGCUUAACUUCGCCGUCUUUGGGCGUCACAAAGCUCGUGGAGUAGGACGCAGAGGCCCCUGUGUCUUUAGUUUGAGUUUAGAUGUGUCUUCGAAACUCAAGUCGGUUAGGUAGCCUGGCUUAGAGGUCACGUCACUGACCUCAAGGUCUCCUGAAAGCAUGGCCACCACUUUUGACAUCGGUGGUCUCAAGGCAUGAGAUGCCUGAAUGCACAACAGAGCAAUGCCUAUCAUGCGUUUCACUUCUUCCAUGUUGAAUUCAGUCAGCUUAUGAUCGAUUAGUUCGACUUCACGGCUUUUCUCGUGUAGAUUCCAUGCCUAUAUACACCACAAUUAUAUCGGCUUAUACCAUUUACGAUAAAUUGUAUAUAACUAACUACAAGAACAUACCCAUUCAAGAAGAUACUUUUUUUCAUCAUCCAGGCUCAUAUCAAAGUUUGGCCUUCCACUCACUAGCUCAAGAACCACAACACCAAAAGCAUAUACAUCUGUUUUCUCUGUUAGAUGUCCACGCAUGGCAUACUCUGGCGCAAGAUAUCCACUGCAUUGGUACAGCAUCAUGUGUUAUAAUAAACCCAUAGUAUUGUUACAAAGAAUAAAAUUUUGAUGGUUUGGACACACAUACAUGGUCCCUGCCACUCUAGUACUUAUGUGAGUUUUCUUGUCAUCGUAUAGCUUUGCAAGCCCAAAAUCAGAAACUAUUGGGAGCAGCUUAGAGUCAAGCAAAAUGUUGAUGGCCUUCACAUCCCUGUGUACUAUGCGAACACUCACCUCCUCGUGAAGGUAGGCUAGACCUCUGGCUACUCCCAGACAUAUCUCAAAACGGGUUGGCCAAUCAAGAUGUAAAGCCUUUUUACCUCCUGCAACAUCCAAAUUAGUUUGGCAAAGAAUCAACGAUAAAAUAAGUCAUCUUUUUGUUCAUUACCAAAUAGUGCGUGAUCAAGACUUCCAUUUGGGAGGUACUCGUAUACGAGCAAACGAUGAUCUCCUUCAUAGCAGCACCCGUAAAGCUUUACUAGGUUGCGAUGCAGAACUGAGGAAAUUGUUAUGAUUUCUGCAACAAAUUGUCCUUUCCCGUGUCGAGAUCCAACCGACAACACUUUCACUGUUGUUAUUUAUACCUUCAUCAUCUGUGUAACGAUUUCUGCUUUUUCGGAUUAUGAAGAUAACCACGCCCGCAAAGAUGCUCAAAAGUCCUAGGCCAACAAUAGCACCCGCAAUAGCACCAGUCCUAUACUUUUCCUUUGACGGUAGCCUGUUAGCUACAGUUGGUUUAAAAUCUGAAUAGCACACAGUACAUAAGACUUGGGCAUCAGGAGAUAGAAAAAAGAACCAGGCAAAAAAGACAAACUUUAGAUAUAACAGAAUUUGCCAGUUCUUGUAAUACCUGGUUUUGCACUGACGGCCGAUAUUAAUGGCCCAUAAGUACCUAGAACAGGAAUACUAAAUGAUCCUUUGCCAGCCCACAAAAGAUGAAUUUCAAGGUAAUUCUCUGAUACAUUUGUUUUAUAUUCUCUCUGAACUGCUUGGACAGUAGUGUCACAAGCUGUUUUGCGUAUAUCAAAAUCCUUUUCAACAAGUUUUCCCUGGAAACACGGAGCUAGGUCUCAGAUUGAUCGGUAAAAAAAAUAUUACACGAAAAAGUUAACUUGUAAAGCGGAAUAGAGAAGACCUGGACAUAAAUGUCAAAACGUCGUCUUCCUAAACCUCUCCAAGAGUUAGUACCAAGAAUAUCUAUUUCAGCAAACUGAAGUGUUACAGUAUAGCCUCCAUUUUCUAGGCCCAACCCGUAAUACCUUCGGGAAGAUGAAGACUGUCUUGCUGACUGAAAAAUCUCUGAGUCCAAAGUGUUGACUACCCAUAUAUUAUUGCUACUUCCUGCAAAAUAUCCUACACUACUGGCUGCCCAUCUCUGAACAUCACUCACGACAAAAGAAGCUGAUCCUAGAUCCUCGUCAUCCCUCUCAAAUAUUGCUCCUGUAGCAGACCGUAUUUGUGGACCUCCGCAGUUGAUCGAAAAGUCAGAAUCUAGACACCGGUUAAUAGAGAAAACCUUAAGCUUUUUUUUUUUUUGGACAACCAAAGAAAACCUUAAGCAAAUCUUCUUUUUUGAAACAGAAACAUACAUGCAUCAUUGAGAACAUAUUCCUUUACUGAUUAAUUACGAUGAUAUGUUUCUGUCACACUUACAGAUUCCUUUGCCUCUAUUGCAGGGGAAGUUCUUCUGCAGGCACUUCAGUCCUGGUAACACCCUUUUAACAAAAUGAAAACAGAUUUAAAAAGAAGAAAAAAUGAAAUUGGAAUUUCAGGCAUCAACGAGAACAUACUAAAUAAAAUCACCUCUUGUCCAGACCUUCCAAGGUGAAGUUAUUAGCAACAAGGUUGCUGCACAAAUAACAUACAGUUUUGUUAUGAUUCUAAUAAUUAUUUCAUAUAAGAAAAAAGGAUGCAAAUAAAUUCUGAAAUAUAAGUAGAGAUAUAGUGUUUUGUUUACUUACAGUUUCAAGUUUGGUAAGCUGACCCAUGAAGGAAGACUACCAGACAAAUCAUUGUACGAAACAUCUCUGAAAGAAUAAAAGAAGAAUGAUUAUUAGGAUCUACAGAAUACGUUAUAUAAUCCAAAACAGUUUCCUAAUAAUCUUGUACAAAACUUGAGUCUUUUUUUUUUUCAUAUCUAUUGACGAACAAACCAGUGGUACUGAAUUUACAUAAUUAAUAUUAUAAGGAUAGACUCAAGCACUUUUUGCUAUGUUGAUUUCCUUCAAAUUCUUUGCACGUGAGAUAUACGAUAUCGAGAAAAAGUUGAAUCUAUUCUUCAUCUUCACAAUCUCCUCCAAGUGUAGAUUAAAAGCUAGCUAUUCUUCAGGUUUAAACACCAUUUUCACCACGUCCAAACAGUCUGUUACAAAAGCUAUGAAUGUCUUUUGAUUCUCUAACAUACAGUGCAUAGUCCAUAUAAGGGCUUCAAACUCUGCAUAUAGAGAAGUAAGACUAUGCCUUACAUUUUAUGCUCCCAUUGUAAUUUCCAUAGUUCCGUCUUUAAAAAAAUACUACCCUAAACCUGCUACUAAAAUCAUAUCCUUCCAAGAGUCAUCAAUAUAACACCACCAUCCAUCAUACUCUGAUGGUACCGACAAUUCCGUUGUAUGACCAGAAUUCGUGGGUGUUAAUUCCUGUUCGGAUAUUUGAGCCUUCUCCCAUAAUUCUGUGCUCGGUUUCUGCUAUUUUUAAUGUUAUUUGUGGAUCUAUAUCAAUGUUCGAAAACACUUUCUCAUUUCUUGCAUUCCAAAUGUACCAAGCAAUUCAUGGAAAUUGUGUAUUUUUUUAUCUCUUUUGGGAGUCGCCAAAAUAGAUGAUCAAAAUUUGAAUAAAACGAUGUCAUUGGAAAACCUCCAGAAGGGGGGGGGGAGAGGUGUUGGUAUCUGCGAUAAUGUCCAGGUUUGUAAAGCAGGUGGACAUUCAAAAAGAGCGUGGUUAAUCGUUUCUUCCUUCGCUCUACACCGCGUACAGUGUGUAUCACACUGUACUCCUCGAGAAAGUAGCCUUGCCGAUACUGAGAUAAAUCCAGAUUUUGUCUGCCAUAUAAAAUAUCGUAACUUCGGGGAGCAUUUUAAUUUCCAAGUGUGAGCCUGUAGUGUUUCUAUGCCUGGCCCAUAUACCUCUUUGGAAUCUCUUUCUCGUACAUUAUGUUAGAUUUUGUAGCCUGAUUUUAUCGAAUAUUUUCUGGUUUUUGUGAAAUGCCAUCCCAAUAAAUCUGGCUUAUAGGUUGUACAAAACUUGAGUCUAUAUCAGGAUUUUAUACUGUUAGAAUUUCACAUCGAAAGUUUAAAGGGACUAACACUAGUGUAUAAGAAAUUUGGGUUAGUCAACUUAUUGUCAAUUAAUUUUGAAUUGGAAGUCAAGGAAACCUAACAAUGUAUCAGAGCUUUGUUUGUUGACCCAAUAAAAGUCAUCAUCGCAAAGGGGCUAAUUAGAAUUCCACAUCGGAAGUUUAAAGGGAUUAACAUUAUUAUAUAAGAAAUUUGGACUAAUCUGUUCAUUGUCAAUUGGUUUUGAGUUGGAAGUUCAGAAAACUUAAGUUUGAUUUUAAAAAAUGAUCAAUAAUAAAGUACUUUGUAACUCACAUAUUGCGCAACGUCUGGCUCUUUUGAGUGGGCAAAGAACCGUCCAACGUGUUAUUUCCUAGAAACCUAAUAUGAAGACAACAAAGUUUUUUCCACAGUUAUCAGUGGUAGAUACUAUCAUAAAGAACCGAAAGAAGUAAAAAACUUACAAGUGAGUAAGUUGGUUUAAGUUUAAAAGUGAAGCCGGAAUUGGUCCAUGUAGUUUGUUGAAGCUUAAAUCACUGGAAAACAGACACAAAUUACACGGUAACACAUUAAGUUCAAUGAAUGGGGAAAAGGAGAAAUAAUAUUAUCAGCAAUGUAAAGAUAACUUCGUAUUCUCGCAGUGACUUUUUUUUUUGUUAUCCGGAGGUAAAUCUCAGGCUCUUCGGACCCAGACUAAUUCACCUUAGGUCUAGCAUUUUUUCAUGUAAGCCCAGUAGCAGCCCACAUGUUGGGUGGCCAAGAGUUAAUAAUAUGACAAUUCCGCAUUUAGGGAGACUCGAUUCCUGGUCUAGACUCACAAAAUCAAAUAUUCCACUAGAAAAGAACCACCCCACCACAACUUCUUGGUUAACGCAGUGACUUUCACAAAUCAUCUCCCUCGUUUUACAGAAAAGACUGAAAAACGCGGAAGUAUGUUCUACUUACACUUGUUGCAAAUUUGAGUUUUUCCCAAUAUUAGAGGGUAUUGUCCCAGUGAGAUUGCUGUUCCUCAAUACUCUGCGACACAUUUCAUCAGUUUCAAAUACACGUAAGAAGGGAGGAGGAAACAGUUCAUGAAUUAGAGUAGAAUUGUUGCCUUACAAUAUACUUAGAGAUUUCAUGCCUUUGAUGAAUUCAAGAGAAGAGCUUCCAAUAUUGGAUAUAUCACCAAGACUCCUACAUUUUGGAUAGGAUUAUGAGGAGGAGAGAGGAAAGAAAGGGAUAUAGUAAACAAGAACGAUUCUGACACCAAUGCGACAACACAUACAGUUCUCUCAAAGAAGUUAAAUUGGAAAAUGACAACGGUAUCGGACCACUCAAGCCAGUUCCGAGAAUUUUCCUGCAUUAAAUCAUGGUAGCAAUCGCUGAAUCCCAAAGUUUAAAUGCCAUGAAGAACUUUCCACUAAAAGUAAACAUUAAGAUAAAAGAUAUAAAAACAAGAGUAAUGUAACAAAUACAUUAGAUAUAUAUAUAUAUAUAUAUAAAUAUAAUUAUAUGUGUAUAAGUAUAUGACAGUGAGAUCAUUCUUACAAGAUAGUAAGUUUGGUCCAUUUGCCUAUAAAUUCCGGUAUCGGACCAGAAACGUCCAUAUCGUGAAUCCAACUGGUACAAACAUGAAGGAAACAAUCACCCCACGGCAAAACUAAAAAAAAUAAAAUAAUGUAAAGUAGUAUAAAUAAAUUACAAAAAUGUAGAAAUCCAACAAUAAAACUUAAUUAUAUGCGAAUUUAAUAAGAAUAAAAUCUUACGCGUCUUCCAGAUCUACAAGAUUAGCAAAUGAUGAAGGUAUUUCCCCUCUAAGUCCAGAAAUUCCCAAGUAUCUGCAAUAAAAUGUAAGAAAUGCUUACAACACUAGAUGAUUUUGAAAGGUUAUAUCAUUAAGUUUUCAUAUCUGAAUUAAAAAUGUAAGAAAUGCUUACAACACUAGAUGAUUUUGAAAGGUUAUUUUGAAAUGAAUACAUAAAAGUAGUUUGUACAUUCUCACAUUUUCAGUAGUUUUGUACAAUUCCCAAUCUCAGCUGGUAUAGAACCGGAAAAAUUAUUUAAACCAAUACCACUGCAUGUAGAAAAUAUAUACAAGAUAGGUUUAAUAUUUAGGAAGCAUCAAAACCUGGCAUUUGUGAUAUUAAAUAAUAAGGAAGCUUACAGCGAUCUCAAUUCUGUAAGCAAACCAAUUUCCUUGGGAAUGGGGCCAGACAAGGCAUUGACCCCAAAAAGUUCUAGAAACAGUUGAAGCGUGAGAGACAAGAAAGAGAGAUUAAAAGAAGAGGAAGAAUAAGGUUUCAUUUACUCAACAGCCUUACAUCCAUUCCAUUCGAGUCAAAUUUCCAAUUGCAGGAGAAAUGGAGCCUGUAAGAAAAUUUUGACCCAGGUUCCUGAAAGAAAGAGGCAUGUGAUUUUUGAUGUACAUACAAUAUGAAUGCAUUUACAGGCUCUAUUUUUCUUUUUCAAGAUGAUGAUAAGAAAAAGAAAAAGUUAAGUCCAUACAGAUUGGUGAGGUAGGUCAAAGUCCAGAGCUGUGGAGGUAUAGGUCCUAUAACAUCUAUCGCAAAAACCUUGCUGUGGAAGUGAAACAAACAACAUGGCAAUAAUAUUCAGUGAGUGAAUGCACAAAUUAAGACAGAAACAAAAAUAGAAAGAGAGGCUGUAGUGUACAGGGCGGUGAUACGACAGAUUGUGGAGUUGUGGAAAAUGCAUCGGCAUUUGAUGAAAGGGUUGUAGGCUUUGUCGUCGAUGGUGAUGCUCUCGUCAAUGGCGGCGCCGGAGCAAAGUUCGCCGCUGAUGUUCCAUUCCUUCGUUGCCCUGAUCUUCCAUGCAGCGAAGAUUAAGUUCAAAGCUUGCGCUGUAAUCGUUUUUAUCCCACAACAACUGUCAGUUUAUUUAUAUUAAUAUCAUUUAUUUCAAAGUGUUCAACGACAGAGUAGAGACCUUCGUCGGGAUCAGUAAUGGCUCCGACAGUACCGUGCUUAGAUCUGUGGUGGCUUUAGGCGAACUAAAAAAAUAUGGCAUUUAUAAAAGAUUAAUAUAAAAUAUUGUCUAAAACAUACACAACAAUAAUAAUAAUAAUUGAAACUAUAAAAAUAUCGUCUUUGGCCGAUAUCAAUGAGUUUAGCCGACAACUUUGUGAAGUGUAAUCGAGAAUCGAUUGACAAGCCAAUCUGGAUUAGCUAUUAAAACCGCAUUUUUAAAAACUUAGGUAAAAUUAGAAAAAAAAACUAAUUAAAAUUUUGUAAAUAUCUAUGGUUAAAACCGGUAGUUCUGAUCAAACCCAAACUUUGUUUUGAAUGUAGGUUUUAAGCUCAAAAAAAUUCUUAAUGAUGUUGCUAUUUAUUGAAGAAAAAUUAUAUACCUCUUCUUUUAGAAUAUCAAUGUGGGAUAACUUUUUUAAUUAUGUUUAUUUGAAUUAGUUAAAUUUUUUUUUAUGUAUCUCUUAUUUAUGAUAAUAAUAUUAAUAACAAUAAUAAUAGAAUAUGAACUUUUCUCUAAAAAAGAACCCAACAAUAUUUAUCUCAUUAAUUAACUAUAUAUAUAUAUAUAUGAAUUUGGUUAAUAAAAUUGUGGCUUUAAUUUUUUUUUAAUUUUUGGUGGCAUUAGGCUAAUGCCUAACUCCCAUCAUAUAAGGCACGACUCUGGGCUCCGGUUUGGUUUUGAGCUCGAACAAGGUGAACCGAACCGAGAAUACACAAGACGAACCAGACGGUGAGGAGCAGACACGUGUGCAUCGUCGUCAACUUACAGAGGUUUUACUGUCUUCUUUUUUUUGGGUUCACAAGAACUGUUGUCUCUGUCUAUCUUACUACAUAAGCUAUGUGUGGAUCGUCACCUUAAAUAUUGUCUUAAAUUUAUUCUUUUUUUUUAAAUUGGCUUAAACCAAUUGUCUUUCUUGACUUAUAUUCAUUGACUUAAAGACUUAUGUACCAACCAAAACAUGAGAAGUGGACCACCAGUCCAUUAUCCACUUACAAUUGACUUAAAUCUGAAAUUUUCUGGCGGGUAUUAUUUCUUUGAUUUUGUCGUUUUCCGUCGGCUACUAUUUCUUUGAUUUUGUCACUUGCCGUGGCUCUUAGGUAUCUUCAUUUUGUCAUUUGCCGUGGCUCAUACGUACCUUCACCUGAUGAUAUUUGGAAAUAUCCACUUAAUUAUCUAAAGAAACUUGUGAAUAUGCACAUCUUUUGUAGAAGUAAAGACUUUUGACAACUUGUUGUUUUCUCCUAAGGGGGAGGGGAGAAGAGGGUAUUGAACUAAGCAUUUAAAAUUCUUUGAAUUAAAUUGACAAAUCUUCUGUUAUUCAAACAUAGAUUUUAAAAAGUAUUCUAAAAUCCAGUGUUAUUGGAUAUAGAACUUGUAAAUGUCUUUUCAAAUUUACUGUUAUUCAAACUAUUUUAAGUAUUGAAAUUUUAAUGAUUUCAUAAGAUUUUGAAGAGUUUCUUAGUUAAAAAUAUAAAAGCUCAAUUUUCAUGGUUUUAUGUGAACUUGCAGAGAAUUUUAAAGAAAAUCAUGCCAACUUUCUUAAAAUCAUCAAAAUCUUUUUAAAACUUAAAUCACUUCCAUUGUUUAGGCUAAUACACCUUUUCUGAUUAUCCCAUGUUUCUAAUUUAUUCUGAUAAAAAUUAAAAGGUUAGUCAGUGGUUGUAAGUUUCUACUUACGACUUCUAAAGCUGGCGAAAGCGAGGAUUUUUUUAUAUAUGAAGGUUCACAAAAAGAAAAAACCUGAGCAAUAUAAAAAAAAAUCAUUUUAUACCACUUUACAAAAGUACAACUGCUUGAUGUCCAUUUUCAAAAAUAUAACUUUUUAAAAAUAUCAUAGUAUUUUUUUUUUAUAAAAAUUCAAGUCUAUAAAGGUUAUAUAUAAAACCAUAUUUAGAAGAGUUUAUAAAACACGUUUCAUGAAGCUUUAUAAAAUUUUAUAAGAAUAUUGUAAGAUUUGAAAAGGUUACUAUAUGUUUUAUAAAUCUUUAUAAACAUAAACUUUUAUAAACUGAGUUGUUAUAAACAGAUAUAAAAAUAGUAUUUUUGAAAAUAGACAUCAUACAGUUGUACUUUACAAAAGUAGUAUCACAAAAAUAAUAUUUCUUUAAAUUUUGUAUGUUAAAAAAUACAAAUCAAUCUUCUUACUUUGAAAGUCACCAAAAAUAGCCCACAAUUGUGGUAAUAGUUAUAACUUUUGUGAAAAAACAAACAGAGAAUUACACAUCGUUCUAUUAGUGAAAAUAACUGCAAUUACUGUUUAAAUCUAUGCAGUUAUUACAACUAAAAACUGCAGACAAAAUUUUUCUUGUCAUUUUUUGGGUUUGGCAUAAUUCGAUUAAAGAAAAUAGAUAAAAUUAGGGUUCUUGAAACAUAAUCUACCUAUGGGGAAAAAAAAUAUUGUGUAGUUUAUAGUGUCAAUGUUAUUUUUUAUAAAAUGACAACAAAAUGCAGUGUUUUAAAACCCCUUACCCAUGUAACGUCCACUUGACGACGGGUUGUCUUGUGGUUGACUUAGGUAAAAGGAUUGAUUUGCAUUUUCCAAAAGUGAGGGUAGAUCAUGCAAAAAAAAAAAGUGACGAGAUUUUUUUUCAGAAAACCUUUACAUAUAAUGUAGGCUUUAUUUAGACAAAUAGUUAUGUAUGAUAUUGAUCGGCAAAAGAUAUGGAAAUAAGUGAAAGUCCUAUUAAAANNNNNNNNNNNNNNNNNNNNNNNNNNNNNNNNNNNNNNNNNNNNNNNNNNNNNNNNNNNNNNNNNNNNNNNNNNNNNNNNNNNNNNNNNNNNNNNNNNNNNNNNNNNNNNNNNNNNNNNNNNNNNNNNNNNNNNNNNNNNNNNNNNNNNNNNNNNNNNNNNNNNNNNNNNNNNNNNNNNNNNNNNNNNNNNNNNNNNNNNNNNNNNNNNNNUUAUUUGUCUGCCUUUCUUCUUUGUUUUAUUUUUAUUGUCUUUGUAUUCUCUAAAUUCUUAUUCUUCAACAUCUUAUACUAUUCUUCUUUUGCUUUUAUUAGCUGUUUUUAUCUUCUGCUUUUUACUUCUUUUUGGUCAUUUUUGUCUUAUCCAAACUUUCUUUCUUUCUAAUUUUUGUUUGUCUUUUUCGCAUCUUUACAUUCUUCUUUUUAUUUUCUUUUUCAUCGUCGGGUUUUCAUCUUCUUAUACUUUAUUUUCUUCAUCUACUAUUUUUGUUCUUCUUUUUCUUUCAGUUUUCUUCUUCAACUUUUAGUUCUUCAUCUCCUUAUCAUUUUUCUUCUUCACUAUUUUGUGUUACCCAUCUUGAUCUUAUUGUUCAUGGUCUAGGAUUUUUUGUUCAUUUUUCCUCAUUUUUUUAUGUUUUCGUCAACUCUAUGUUCUUCUAUAUGUUUCAAUUUAUCUUUUUUCUCUUCUUUUUCUACUUCGUUUUUCCCUUUUUCCCUUCUUCUGUUUUUCCUCUGCGCCCUGCUAGAGUAUUUGGCCUCUCUUACAUUAUUCCAAAUAAAUAGAAUUUAGAAAGCCAUAUUUAUAAAAAACAAAAAAACAAAAGACUUAAAACCUAUUCAUUAGACAAUGAAGAUGAUUUAUGAUAUGUUGACAUGGUUUUAAUCACGUUAAGUAAGGAAGAAUAACUGACAACACAAAACAACAACAUAUAAUCGAGGAACACUACUACUGGUACUGAAAAACGGAAAAAACAAUAGAAAAAUCAAAAAUUGAUUUAUAAAAAAUAAAGACGGUAAAAAAAACAACGAAAAGCCGACCAAUAUAGAAACCAAAGCACAAUUGAGCUUAAGAUACAUUUUAUAAAGUAAUAUAUUUAUAUAUAGCUCUCAACUUAAGCGAGGAUUUCCCAUAUCACAUGUACAUUUUUUUUCCAGAUAAUCUCGCUCAACAGAUAAUCCGAUUGAAAUUAUCUUAAGAUUAUCAAAAUAACUAAAAGUGGCAGCAAAAUUGUUAUACAAACUACGAAAAUAAAUUAAUUAAGGAUAUUUAAAAAUAUUCUAUUAACAAAUAAAGAGGAAUUAGUUACCUAGAUUGAAUAAGAGACCUUAUAGCAAAAAAUUUACUUCGCAUAUAUUAUAUAUGAUAUAAUUUUAAAUGUUUUUUUAAUUAAAUUCCAAUUUUUAAUUUCUCGUUAUUUUCUAUUUGAAAUAUUUUUUGACUAAAUUUCGAUUUUUAAUAAUUUUUAUUAAAUUUAAAUGUCUUUUAUUAAAUUUUGAUUUUCAACAAUUUUUUUUAUUAAUUUACGAUUUUUAAUAGUUUUUUAAUUAAUUUAUGAUUUUUAAUAAUUUUUUUAUUAAAUUUAAUUUUAAAAAAUAUAAAGAGGGAUAAAUGGUAAUUGGCCAGGGAUUGAAUGAGAGAGCUUUAACUCAAAAUUUUACUUUGCUUAUAAUAUAUAUGAUAUAUGAGCAUAUUCUACAAAAUUGCAAUUGGUUUUGGUAUUAUCACGCGACCCGUUUUGUGUUAAACGGCGAAACUAGAUAGAAAAUGUUUUUUAGAAUUUGACUGGUUUAAACGCAACGGUUGCGGUUGCGAAUGCGGGAGUUUGCGAAAGCGGACGAUUACGAUUUUGAGUGUUUUUCAGCAGUUUGCACGACUGGUUAAACUUUUUAAGGCGGAUGCGUUUGCGAAAUAUUUUUGAAUGGCAAAUCAGUGGUUGUUUUAGCGGUUAAAUAUCAAAUUACCAAAAUAACAUCAUAUAUAAUUAUUAAAAAAAAUAGAAAACUAUAUUAUGAUUAAUAUCAAAAUCACUAGUUCAAUAAUUAAUAAAAAUUAUAAAUAAAUAUAAAUAAUUAUUUUAAAAACUAAUAAAUUUUAUAAUAAUAUGUUUUUUUCAAUUAUUGGAAACAUCACCCAAAAUUGUGUCUAAUAAUGUAAUAGACUAGAAAAAAUUUGCUCCAAUACGUGGAUCUUCUGAAUUUGUCUUAUGCAUGAUGUGAAAUUUCUUCAAUUGAUCUAAUUGAUUUUCUGCACGAUCCCAACUCAAAUCAACUCCAAAUUGUUCAUUAGUAUUCUUCAAAAUACGUUUUUUCUGGAGUGCACUAAAAAAUCUAGAAUAUUUAUCUUGAGUUUGUUUUCCACAAUGAUCUGUUGAAGUAACGCACAUGUCAUGUCGUUUGAUUAUGUAACUUUCUGAAGAAUAAAAAAAAGAAUUAUAACAAACUAAUUUUGUAAUUAAUAAAAUAUAUAUUUAUAAUUUAUUAUUUUAAAAGUGGAAACAGAACAAUUAAUAUAAAUGAAUUAAACCAAAGUAUUAUGGCACUUAUGCUUAUAUCUUAAUUUUAUUCAACUGAUAUGAAAGCCAUGAUUAGAGACUAGAAAAAGUGAGAGGUUAGAGUUUAUAUAUAUAGGAGAAGAUUAGUAGGGUUAAGGUUUUAUAAUUGUUUUUAACGUGAUCUUCUAUUUUUUUCUAGCGUGAUUUUUUUUUUUUACGUAAUCGCUACCGUCCGCAACUGCAACCGCGAGCGGGAAACAGCUUUUGGAUUUCAGCAGUAUAAAAUGAUACGGAGCAGUUUACAGCAAUUUCUAUGAUUGUGAUAAAACACUACUAACCGGUACCAACUGCAGACGCUGCGUUUGCGGAUGAUAGCGGAUAAACCAAUCAACACCUUAAUUUGCCGCCUGAAUCUAGAAAAAACAGUCAGUAGUAUUUUCUCAUGAAAAUCAGUUUGUCUAUGCAAUUAGGGAAUACACCAUUAGUCCACAUAUGCUUACUAUAUACUAUUCCUUUCAUCGCAAGUAUCAACAUCUCUUUAAAACCACCCACUACAAAUUUCUCUCUCAACAGCUUUCAGGAAACCCAAGAGCUAUAUAUAUAUAUAUAUUAUGACAUUCCGAUUUCCAGUAUAUACUAAAAGGUUUAUAAGAAUUGAUUUGACUAUUUAUUUCAUCAAAGUACACUUAUCUUUUCCGGUCAAGUGUCUUGAGAGAACUCCAGAGUUAAGCGUGCUUAUGCUAGAGCAAUCUCAGGAUGGGUGACCUACCGGAAAGUAGUUUACGAUACCGUGCGAGUGAGGACAAAGCACAAAGAAAGAUCAUGUGAUGAUUGUAGAGACAGUAGACAACUUUUACGAGCAUCCCAGACCAUGUAACUACCGACCGUCGGAUAGGUAGUGGGCCCAUAGGCCUAGUAAGAGGUCAACAGUCGAACAGUGGUGGACCAACAGGCCUAAGAGAGAAAGCAAAUUCAAUUGGAUAAAGCGCUAAGCCUAGAGUGAUUUACAGAGAUUCGAUAAAGGUGUAUGGAAAAUUCCUAGAGAUUCUAAUUAUGCUCGGUCUAGAAUUCAGAACACUAUUAUAAAUCAGCCAACUUUCGCUGCACUGAUUCCUAUGAGUAAGAAGCUAAGAAACCAAAUUUCUUUGAGAAACCUAGACAACUAAACAUACAUAAAUUUUAAGCCUAAUUUGUUCACAAUUCUACCUAGCCAAAUUUCUUUGCACUAAAUAGAAUUGCUUACCUAAGUCUUUCAAGUUAAUUGACCAACUUUCGCUGAGACUUGAGAGAAGUAACCUAUGAUCUUAGUUCCAGGUGGCCAAUCUAGAACAAGCUUUAAAGAGCUACUUAGAUGAAGAACAAAAUAAGAUAAAUUCCUAGAUGUCUAACCAAUUAACAAAUUAUGAAGAACUCUUUGAAAAAACUUUAACUUAACAAAAAAUUUUAAUUUCAUCUAUCUGUUUUAUUGAUUUUCAAAAAUUAAUAAAAUAAUAUAUUUGAAUUUUAUCUAUAAAACUAAUUUCGAAAAUUUUAAAAUUUAAUUCAAUUAGUUUAGAUUUUUUUAGAUAUAGUUAGGAUUAAUUAUCAAAAUUACAAAAAUCAGUUAUUAUUAUUUUUUCAAAAUAGUAAAUAAGAUACUAACUUAUUUUUUUUUAAAUAUUCAAAUUUAAAUAAUAUUUUCAUAAUGAUAAAGAUAAUAAAUGCUAUAUUAUUAUAUAUUUUAUAAUCAAUUAUUUAAAAAAUAUAUUAAAAAUAUAUAUAUACAGAUAUAGUAUAUGGUAAUAUGAUGAACAGAUAGGGAUGAACGGGUUAAAGUUAUGUUUUUAUAAUCGUGGUUAAAUUUAUUAGAAAACUAAAUUUGAUCUAAACACAAAAAGAAAUUGUAUCAUUUACUAAAAAAAAUAUUAUAUCUGUAAAAAAUUUUAAAUUAUAUUAUAAAAUUAGAUUAAAAAAAUAAAAUUUCGUACAGUUGCACGGGGUAGAAUCUAAUUUAUAUGUUAAAACACGAGUUGAGUCAAUCCUGAAAACUUUAGGAACUCUUGGGCCAAAAUCAUAAGUCCACUUUGUGUUGGGAAAUCGUCAUUGGUGUCAAACGACACAAAUGGUGGUGUCGCUCGACAUUAGUCAAAAACGUGAUCAAUCUUCUUUUUUCAACUUGGCUUCAACUCCUCUUCAAUCCACUUGAAUCCAAAAACAUCCAAAGUUUCUAAAAUAACCAAACUCGUACAAUAACUUGUAAAUACUCAAAAGGACUCAAAAAACACCAAAAAGACUUGAUAAAAACUACGAAUAUCAUGCUUAAAAACCAGUGAAAAAAACUACAAUAUCUCACACCACUCGUGACAUUGGUCGUCUCAAGGCAUGAGAUAUCUGAUUGCACAACAUAGCAAUGCCUAUCAUGCGUUUCCCUUCUUCCAUGUUGAAUUCAGUCAGCUCAUGAUCAAAUAAGUUCAACUUCACUUAAUUGACAACAGUUUGAUAUUUAUAGGUAAGAUAAAUAACAGUUUGAUAUUUUAACCCAAACAAAAUAUUACAACUAUUUAAUUAUUAUUUCCAUAAAAUUUAGAGUCAGCAUGAGAGCAUUUGUUACUUGGUCAUAGUUUUUUACUAGCGUUGAUUUUAAUGGAAAGACUUGUUUUGGUCAAAUACAAAGCAUUUGACUUAUUUAUAAUAUGCAAACCAGUGAUCCAAAAGAAGUUGAAACAUAAAUGAAAUCUCAAACCACAUAUAUAGUACGAUCAAGAAUCUGAAUAACUUUUGAAAUCUCUUUAACAUUAUUAUAUAUGACUUGCAUACAUGUAUAUAUGUAUAUAUGAAUAUGAUAUACAUUUGCAUUAUUAAAAAAACCACAAAUUUAUGUCAUGCAUUUCUGUUUAUUAUCUCGUCGAUCUAAUCCAUGCACUCAUCUCCUCCCUCCAUACCCUGUCUUGGAUUUGCGGCUUCUUUAUUUUGAUAUCCGUAGGACUCCAGCAUUAUUGUAUAUGACUGACAUACAUGUAUAUGUAUGAUAGAAUAUAUAUGUUUUCUUGGUGGUGAAUGAGAGGAGGGGAAAAAAAUUAAGAGGAAAAACAAUGAGAAUAAGAAAAGUUCAUAAAAAAAAAUCACAAGAUUAUAAAGUUCUUUCAUUUUUAUUGUUCGCCUCUUAUUUUUUUUUCCUGCCUCUCAUUCACCACCAAGAUAACACAUAUAUAUAUAUAUAUAUAUCACAUAUGUAUUUAUACUCUAACAUUUAUGUAUUUUUGUUUAGCAUUUGACCAUGUCAAUCAAUUCAAGGAGGUGCUAAACAAAAAUAUAUGAUGGAUUUUUUAAGACUAUAUGGAGAUCUAUAGAAGGCGAUGGUCGAGGUUUACAAAAAUAUUCAGACUUUUAAUUUGGAUUAAAAAUUCUGUAAUAACAAAAUUCAGAUAUGAUUUCAGAAUUAUUAAGGUAAAAGUUUUCAUCACUAUUUCGCAUAAUAUAAUGAUAAGUUAAAGUGUAAGAGACAUUUUGUUAUUAUUAUAUCGUAAAAAAUGUGUAGAUGCUACAUAAGUUUCUAACACUUUUUAAAAAAAAACUAUAUUCAAAAUAUUAAAAUAGAAAAUAAUACUAAUAAUAUAUAUAUAUGAUAUUUAAACUCUAUAAAAUAAAAGUUUGAUAUUUCUAGUCGAGAUAAAGUAAUGUUAUAAUAUAUGCUGACCAAAAACAAAUAUUACAAACAAUUAUUUCCCAUUAAAUUUACAUUAGAGCAUUUAUUACUUUUUCAUAGGUUUUACUACAGAUGAAUUUGAUGAAAAGAUUAAUUUUGGUCAUAUUAAAAGCAUUUAACUAUUUAUAAUAUGUAAACUUUCAAUCCAAAGAAGUUAAAACAUAAAUAGAAUCUCAAACCACAUGGUACAAACAAGAAUCAGAAAAACUUUUGGAAUCUCCAAGUAUUUAAUUUUUUGAAAACUCAUUGUUCUUCUCUCAUACUUUUUUUUUUCUUUUCACACUAACCACCAAGAAAUCACACACAUAUAUAUGUCAUGCAUUAUCGUUUAUCAUCUCAUCGAUCCAACUCAUGCACUCAGGAUCAUCAUCAAAAUGAUCUCCUCCCUCCAUAGCCUCUCUUGGAUUUUCAGUUUUCAUAUGCUGAUAUCUGCAGGGCUCCAUCAUAUUAUGUUGCUGACUUGUCGACUCUAGAUUCAUACCAAGUGAUUGAUCAUUGUUUUCCAUCGUGGAGUGAGGGGUUGAGUCCAUCAGCGAAUUAAAGGCAGAGUCAUGUCCAAUAUACAUCGUCGACAAAGGAAUAUUUUCCUCAGAAGAGCCAUAAUUUCCAAACCAACAGUCAAUAUCCAUCUCAUUGACGUCAAUGUCCAAAGAAAUCAAUUCUUCAAUUGGACAAUCAGUAUCUUCCACAUAAGGAACCAAACUCGUAUCUUCCAUAUUAGUUUCAAGGGUUUGGGCUGUAAUGGUUUCUAAAAAAGGUAUAUCUUCAAGAAGAAGAAAACUUUCUUCAGAAAACAACCAAUUCAUCUGGUCUGUAUUGGUUUGAGAAGGGGUUUCAUAAUUUGUUUGACCAGUAGCAAAACCGACAUGGGAAAUAAUAUCUUGAGAAAGAACAUGAUUUUCUCCAUAAGAAACCCUAUCCAUCUGGUUACUGAUCUCUGAAGGAAUUAUAUUUUCAGAAGCAACAUAACCUUCUCUUGAAGAAACCCAGCCCAUAUGGGUUGUAUUGGUUUCAGGGACAUUUAUGUUCAUAUCAGUUUGAGGAAAAACAUAAUUUUCUAGAGUAGGAAUCCAAUCCAUCUGGUUCAUAUUGGUUUCAGGAUGGCUAAAAUUUUCUGUUGAUGGAGUCCAACCCAUUUGGUUCAUAUUAGUUUCAUCGCUAAUAUUAUCGGUUGAUGGAAUCCAACCUAUCUGAUCCAUAUUGGUUUCUAAAGGGUUCAUGGUAAAGACUAGAUCUGGAAGAAAAUAACUUUCUCCUAUAGUGCACAGAUCGGCUAGAGGAACAUAAGGAUCUGGUGUAGAAAUAGGGUCUAGAUCUAGUUGGUUCCAAUCGAUUUCAAGAACAGAUGAGCUAGGUUGAAAUGGGUUAGGUUCAGACUGAGCAAUACAAAUCUCGGAAGACCCCAUCUGGAAUGCAUCUGUGUUAGAUGCACCAACACUUGUUGGCAAACCAGAAAGAACAGAAGGGUUAUCACUUAAGCCAUUAUGGUUAGGUACCCCAACAUUUGAUGGCAAGCCAGAAAGGACAGAAGGGCUAUCAUAACCUAAACCAUUAUGCUUAGAUGCACCAACACUUGAUGGCAAACCAAAAAGGACAGGAAGGUUAUUACUUAAGCCACUAUGGUUAGAUGCAUCAACACUUAAUGGUAAACCAGAAAGAACAGGAGGGUUAUCACUACUUAAGACACUAUUAUUAACAUCAUUGGUAGAAGAAAGGACAUGUGGUUUGUUACUUGUGGCUGAAGGAACGUACUUGAAUUCCAUAGGUGACUUGUUUAACACGUUAUCAAAAAGUGAGUGCUUACUCAAAUCCAAUUUUCCACCUAGAUGAAACUUGGGCAUCAUCUUCGCUUUCCCCUUGUCAGCAGAUUUUUUAAAUGAAUCUGCAUACAAGAAAAACAAAAAAAAAAAAAAUUGACACAAAAAUGAUACAUAAUUAUAUAUAAUUGUGAAAAUUAUUUAUAUAAUAAAAUAGUAAAAUAAUAUGACUUGCAUUGGUCGAUGGAUGAUGAGGAUGCUUCCUUCUUCCUCAAGGAAUACCACUUUGUGUUACUUUCAACGAUAUUCUUCGCUAAGUUGGAUGCAUUGAAAGGAUAUUUAUAGUCUGAAGGGUAGUUGAAUAUCUUAUCUGUUGACCUCCAUUCAUUCCUCGACAAUGAAUCGUUCAUUAGCUCAACUUGAGCUUUGUAUUUCUGAAACAAUUAAUCAUAGAAUAAAAAAGGUUAUCAUAGGGCUAGCAAAAUUAUAUUUUGAAGAAGACUGUAUAUAAGUGUAUAUAUAUGAACCUGAAGGUGGCUACCGACUUGGCGAAGAUUCAAGUCUGCGUCAUUCAUAAUGCUCAAUAUGGAUUUGGGACGAGAAUCUGCAGGAUAAAGAACUAUAAUUAAAUGGUAGAAAAAAAAGAAGAAUUGGUCCAAAAAAAAAAUGAAAUAUAAAUCUUACCUUUUUCACCCAAUAUGGAGAUAGCUGUUAAAAAUUUCAUUUGACGCUCCUGAGUCCAUACAUUGCAUCGUCUUCCAAUAUUACUCCCCAUUUUUAUUCCUUCCUCUCUUUUGUUCUCAGCCUCAGUGGGGUAAACCGGUUUAGUGUUUCCUUCAUCAAUUGCUUUUUCUUUUCUCUUUUGGUAUGUUUUAGGGGUUGUAAAUGUUUUGACGAAGGGUUGUUUUCCUAACAAAGAUGAUUGACUUAUUCUCUGCCUCUUUAUGGUUUCUCUAAAAGAUUCAAUCUGAUUUAGCAUAGUUUUCUCCACAACCUUCUCUUGCUGUUCAGAGAUGUUGAUUUUCUCUAACUUUUGGCUCUCCUUAGGUACCACAUGCUGCCACAGGUUUUUGAUAUCACUUUCAGAAAUCGGCUUCUUUAGACAAAAAUGUGUACUUUUUGUUAAAAGAUCUGAUGCUUCCUUGGUGUUUAUUUCUGGAUGUAUCACUUAAACAUCAAAAAAGAAUAUAGAUUAUUUAACUUGUGGAAGAAACUAACAAACAGUGUAAAGAUUAAAUGAAAGAACGAUGUGUAAAUGUUUAUUUACGUAUAAGAGGAAUUUCUUUGUGAAGCAAAGCAGUGAGGAAGGAAUGUGAGUCUAUGCGAGGCAUUUCAGUGUUGGCUAUGACAAGUCCAAUAUCCUUUUGCUUUUCGAUCAUCGAUAAAGCGUCACUUGCCAUGUUCACGCUCAUCACUAGUACAAUAAUUUAUAUAUUAGUUAUUUACAAAAUUCAAAAAAAAAACAUUGUUGAAAACAAAAAUCAAGUUUUUCCUUAUUACUUUUUAGUUGUAUGAAAAAGUUGAAAAAACAAUAGAUUAACACGUAAAUUUUCGGUUAUACCUGAUGAUUGGCUAACCUAAUACAUAAUAUAUUAAAUAUAUUAACUAGAACCAAACAUCUGACAAUCUGAUUAUCCUUAAAAAUUUUAGAAUAUAUAUGUAUUAAAACUCAGCAAUUAUUUUCCUAAUAACACCGAAUAUCUAGGGUAUUCAAUACAAAUUUUUAAGAAGCUAAGUUCAAAUAUUUAAUUAAAUUAUUUCUUAUCGAUUUGUAUUUAUUUACAAAAAUUAUUUUAAAAGAAAAAUUUACAUGCGUAUUAUCAAUUAUAUUUGAUGAUCGACUAAUCUAAUACAUAAUACAUUAUAUAUAUACACAUAUAUGAAUAUUUUGAAACUUUUUUCGGCUAAUACCAAACAUUUGAAAUCAUGUUAAAAAAAUCAUUUCUAAAAACAUCAGAUAUGAAAAUAUCAUAUUUAUUCCGAAAAAUAUAGAUUAUACUAAAAUUCAAUGUUUUUAACAAAAUAGUAUCCAAUAUCUAAGACAGAUUAUUAUCCGAACUAAUAAACGUAGCUGAUUAGAAUUUCUAACAAAAAUUUUGUAAGACAAUCAUCUCCAAAACUGAGAUCCAAGACCAAUUAGUAGCCUAUAGCUUCAAAUUUUUUCAGAAACCUUGGUUUAUACAAUGUAAAAAUCACAAGAUCUAGAGUUGUUGAAUUAUAUUCAUCAGGAAAAAAAUACAGCAAAUGGUAAAAUUUAACAUAACAUAUGCAACAAUUUAGAAUAGUAUAGUUAAUAUGUAAAUGGAAAAAUGAUCAUGUCAAAAAAAAAAUGGAAAAAUGAUCAACAUCACUAUAAAUGGUAAAAAAAUGCAAAGAAUAGUUAUUUUUUUACCUUUAUCUGAAAAUUGCUUAAGCAUUGAAGUGAGAUAUUCAAUUGAUGUAGUGUCAUUAUCAACUAUCAGAACAGAAAUAUCACUAAUGUGUUCAGCAGUUGUGUUUCCGGCCAAAUUUAGGGUCAAUUUUUCAGUCAUUUCUCAAAAGUAUAUGAUAUGAAGGUUUGAGAAAAUAACCCAGUUGAGGAAAAAUAAGCUAUUGCAUAGACAUUUAUAAAAAGAAGAAUAUAAAUUGUGAAUCCAACAAGGUCAUAAAUUACAAAGAACACCAGAGGAAGAAAAAUAUUAUAAUUUCCAUCAUAAUAUAUUUCAUUUCAUCAUUUGACCCUACCUAUAAUAUAUUUUCUUAUCUCUGAAAAAACACCUAGUCUAAAAUAUAAUUUAUUACUUUACAUAUUUCAAAAUCUUAUCAAACACAUGGUAAUUGAUAUUAUAGCAUUGGUAUUAAUAAAUACAAUGAUUUUGGAAAUAUUAUAGCUUUUCUUGACCAAUAUAAUUUGAGAAUUUAUGAUGGUUAUCGACUGAAGAAUCUAUAUAUAGUUAGUUGUUAUUUCAUUCAUAAAUUUUGACCAGAAAUAUAUCAGUCGUUCGUUUUUUAUACAAUGUUUUUCUAAAAUGAUUAAUUAAUUAACAAAAAAGUAAAUAUGAUAUGAAGGUUUGAGAAAAUAACCGAGUUGAGAGAAAAUAAGCUAUUGCAUAGACAUUUAUAAAAAGAAGAAUAGAAAUUGUGAAUCCAACAAGGUCAUAAAUUGCAAAGAACACCAGAGGAAGAAAAAUAUUUUAAUUUCAAUCAUAAUAUAUUUCAUUUCAUCAUUUGACCCUACCUAUAAUAUAUUUUCUUAACUCUGAAAAAACACUUAGUCUAAAAUAUAAUUUAUUACUUUACAUAUUUCAAAAUCUUAUCAAACACAUGGUAAUUGAUAUUAUAGCAUUGGUAUUAAUAAAUACAAUGACUUUGGGAAUAUUAUAGCUUUUCUUGACCAAUAUAAUUUUAAAAUUUACGAUGGUUAUCGACUGAAAAAUCUGUAUAUGUUAGUUGUUACUUCAUUUAUAAAUUUUGACCAGAAAUAUAUCAGUCGUUAGUUUUUUUAUACAAUGGUUUUUGAAAAUGAUUUAUUAAUUAACAAAAAAGUAAAUAUAGAACAGUUUUGUAUAUGCAUAAAAUAUUUUUAAUAGAAAAUUCGAUGGUAUUAUAUUUUCUCCUUUUUCUUAGAAUUAGAUAGUAUUUUUCUAUCAGUCAGGGAAAAAUGUAACUACAGAUGUGUUUUAGAUUUUUUUUUUAAAAGCUAACUUAAAUUAGAUUACAUAUUACAUAUAUUUUUUAAAAAAUAUAUCGGCUUGAGAUUGGAAUUAGAUGAGGAUUCAUCAACGGACGAGUGGGAUCGGAUCUGGGAAUCAGUUUGUCAUCUUAAUUGCGAACCCAAUAUCAAAAUCGAAUCUGAAAGAUUCAAAAUUGAUGGCAUUGAUGAUAUGUUAAUGGCGGGAUUAUGGAUCUUAAUCAGGAUUACACACGGAUUCUUCUGGUGGUUUGUUCCUCCCCGAGAUCGAGUAUCUUGGGCUGAUUCCCUUUUAGGAAACUGGUAUAAACGAAUAUCGAUUAAAUCAUUCUCUUGGCCGUUUGUUGAGGGCUGUACCAGAUUAAGGAUUGCAGACCGGAUUCAUUGUCAUAAACGAUUAAAUGCUUGUGCGGAUAUAGAUCUCGGAGAGUUCCAAUUCGACUUUGAUCGGGAAGAGGAUCUCCAGGAAGUGAUGAAAAUGGAACUAUUCCAUUUUGAUUACUGGAUGUUGUCGCUUGUACGGUGGACGCCGGUCUUUGAUCCAAGCUACCCAUCGAUGAUCAAAUUCUGGUUUUGAAUCAUCUGAAUACCUCUCUACUUCUGGGCUGAUGUCACAUUCAGAAAUAUAGGGAAAGCCCUUGGAGAUGUAAAAGAGGUGCAUCUGGAUGAGGGAAAAGUGCAAGUGCUGAUCGAUGGAUUCAAACCGCUAUGCUUCGAAACAACACUGGAGUUUGACGGCGGUAAAGAAUGGAGGUGUGAACAAUGCUUAUCACGGACAAUACAAGGGCAGAGGAAGAACAAACGGAGAAGAAGAUAAAGAACAGCUUAAAGGCAGAGUGGAGAAGAAAUAUGGUGAAGGAUCAUCAAAGAACAUAAAGCCAUUUGGGUACAUUCCUCCAAACGAAUUUCAUAAGCGGUACCUGACAUCAGGCUUGAAAGGGGAUGUCUUGAAAGAUGGAGAAGCUGGAAAAGGAGACUUGGAGCCGAAAGAACAACAGGCAUCAACCAUGGUAACACAAUCAAAAUCUUUAGCAUUGGGUACAGACUCAUCGGGCCAGGAGAACAUGGCAUUAGAUGCUCCCUAUGGCAUUCCAGCGAACCAAAAAAAACGGGGAAACUCGAUCGGUGCAGGAAGGGGAACGUGAUGACAAUGCGGUGAUACCAAGCAAUAAAAUAAUGAGGAAAAGCUUGGUUUUUGAGGAAGAUGAUCUCCUCGGUGAUGACUUUGGAGAGACAGGAGCAAAUGAUGAUGCAAUGCGAGGAGAAUGGUAACUCGGGUGGGAAGAUAGGUAUGGCUGUCAAAGGGAAUUCUAAUGACACAAGUGAUGCUAUGCAAGAAUUUCUGAAACAGGUAAAUACGGGUAUCGAAACAGUACUCUCUGUGCGUUGGUUCAAAGAAAAAAGUGGUCCAAACUUUGAUUUCUCCACGAAAGGAACAGGUGGUAAAACUCAUGAUCCGUAAAGGAGAUGGUCUACCUAAAGAGGUUCCAAAGGGUCCUUCAAACCCAAAAAUAGAGCAAAAUCCAUAAUUACUCAUAUAUUAAAUGAAGGUUCUUAGCUGGAGUUGCUAAGGACUUGGGAAUAAGUGGAAAAGAAGUUAUCUUUGCGAGGUUUGGAAGAAACACAGGCCAGAGUUUUUGUUUUUUUCAGAAACCAAAUAAGAUUUUUCUUUUUUACAUAAAUUACAAUUUCAUUUUGGUUAUAAUAAAUUGUAUAUGGUUGAGUCGUGUGGUGCGAGUGGUAGACUUGCCUUAUUCUAUGAAAAUUAUUUUAAUGUAAAUGUACUCUUUUCUAAUAAUCGAAUAAUUGAUAUUGAAGCGGUUGUUCAAGGAAAAAAUAUUUUUAAUCUUUCGUCUAUGGUGAUCCAGUAAAAAUGGGAAAUAUUAACUAGAAUAAGUCUUAAUCGGUUAGGGCCUUGGUUUAUCAUUGGCAACUUAAAUGAAAUAACAAGUAACCAGGAAAAACAAGGUGGACCAUUACGACAUGCAUCAACCUUCACAUCUUUAAACCUUAUGAUAAGAGAUUAUGGUUUUCUGAGAGGGAGGCGAAACGGUAAGAUUGUAAGAUAUAGACUUGAUCGGGCCUUAGCCACUGAAAACUGGCACGAUCUUUUUUCACAGUCCUUUGUGGAGUAUUUGGCGAUGAUUGGAUCGGAUCAUAAACCGAUAAUGGCAACAGUAGCAGAUAAAAUACCUCGAAAAAAACACAAAGAUGACACGAGGACGGAAGUGGAAUUACUUGAAAUCACGAGAAAAUUAAAAGAAGCAUACAGAGAGGAGUUGUUUUGGCAACAGAAAAGCAGAACACAAUGGGCCACUUUGGGAGAUAAAAAUAUGAAAUUUUACCAUGCUUUGGUUAAGUAACGUAGAGCAAGAAACAAAAUCAUCGGUCUAUACAAUACAUCAGGAAUUUGGGUAUCGACCGAGGAACAAGUUGAACAAGUAGCGGUCCAAUACUUUGAAGAACUAUUUUCAAUAACCUCCCGGACAGAUUUUGCGGAAGCGUUGGGGGAAAUCUCCCCUUUAGUUACGGAACAGAAUAACAAAAUGCUCACAGCAGCGGCUACUAAAGAGGAAGUCAGAUCGGCACUUUUCAUGAUGAGCCCGGAAAAAGCUCCGGGACCAGACGGAAUGACGGUCCUAUUUUUUCAAAGCUCUUGACCAAUUAUUAAAGCGGAUAUUGUGAUUAUGAUCAAUGAUUUCAUGGAAAUGGGGGUUUUGAUCAACGUUUAAAUAUGGCAAAUAUCUGUCUAAUACCCAAAAAAUAGCGACUUACUAAAAUGACGGAAUUAAGACCAAUAAGUUUAUGUAAUGUAGGAUAAGAUCAUAUCAAAAAUACUAUGCCACCGUUUAAAAAAAUUACUACCUAAUCUCAUCUCGGAAACACAGUCGGCCUUUGUAUCCGAAAGACUGAUAUCAGAUAAUAUUCUGAUAGCACAGAAAAUGUUCCAUGAUAUACAGACCAAUAAUUCGUGUAAAAGAAAAUUUAUGGCAAUAAAGACGGAUAUGAGCAAAGCGUAUGAUAGAGUAGAAUGAAUUUUUGUAGAACACUUACUGAGACAGUUCGGGUUUGCGGAAAAAUAGAUCACAUGGAUGAUGUAGUGCAUUACAUCGGUUCAAUAUAAAGUCCUGCUAAAUGGAAUUCCAAAAAGACAAAUAACAGCAAAUCGGGGGCUCCGACAAGGAGAUCUUUUAUCGCCGUAUUUGUUUAUCUUAUGUACGGAGGUCCUAAUAGCUAUAAUAUUAAGAAAAUGGAAAGAAAUAGUUCACUAACGGGUCUACGAAUCGCAUGAGCAAGUCCGCCGAUUUCCCACUUAUUAUUUGCGGACGAUAGCCUAUUUUUCUGCAAAGCUACGAGGGAAAUGAUUCUCAAAAUACUUAGUCAGUAUGAGAAGGCUUCAGGGGAAAAAUUAAUUUUUGAUAAGUCGUCAGUACGAUUUGGCCAUACGGUUCCUGAUACGGUGAAAAAUGAGCUGAAACAGCUCCUAAGAAUAUCAUGUGUUGGAAGAAUGGGAUACAACCUAGCACUCCCGGAAAGCCUUGGUGGAGCAAAGAGCAAGAUUUUUAAUUACGUAGUAGAAAAGCAACAAGACCAGGUAAAUGGUUGGAUAUCGAAGUUCUUAUCAAAAGGAAGGAGGUAAAGAGGUUUUAAUUAAAUCAGUGGCAUCGGCAAUGCCCAGCUUUGUUAUGUCAUGCUUCCGUCUCCCCAAAAUAGUUACAACAAAAUUAACUAGUACAUUAUCUUGAUACUGGUGGUCUUCAAAUGGUAAUUAAUUGGUUGACGUGGCAUAAAAUGUGUCGACCUAAGUCGGAAGAAGGAAUGGGUUUCCGCAAUUUGGUUGAUGUAAAUACAGCAUUACUAGCAAAACAGUUGUGGAGAUUAAUAGACAAAUCGCAGUCUCUUUUCGCAAAAGUUUUUAAAGGGUGGUAUUAUCGGAAUGCUGAUCCUCUCGAUCCGAUCAGAUCGUACACUCCAUUAUACGGAUGGCGUAGCAUUCUUUCGGCAUGAUCUCUGGUUAAAAAAGGGCUAAUCAAAAGAGUCGUUUCAAGCAUAUCCAUCUCUGUAUAGAAUGAUCCUUGGAUACUUUCUUCUUGCCCGAGGUCUGCCAUUUGUAAGGGUUACAAUUAUUACCCGAAUUUAAAGGUUAAUCACCUGAUUGACCCGGCAACGAAUACAUAAAAUCUGGACUUAAUUAACGCAAUUAUAGAACCAGCAGAUGUAUAACUAAUUUUCGGUAUACCUAUAAGUAGUACGUAUAAACCCGACUUUCUCGGGUCGCAUUAUACAAAAUCCAGAUGAUAUACGGUGAAAUCUGGUUAUCAAGUCGAAAAUCAAGACUUAAGAACAGAUAAAGAGCUCGCUUAUGGACCAGACAUUAAAAAGCUACAAGCACAUACAUGGAAUCUGAGAUGCUUGCCUAUGUCAAAAUUUUUAAAAAUUCGUGGAAUUCAAUGCGAUACAAAUGUUCUCGAUGCGGUGCAGAAGAAAAAACAAUUAAUCAUGCUCUUUUUGAAUGUCCACCAGCAUUACAAGUAUGGGUCCUACACAGAUACCUACUCCUACAGGGGUUUUCCCAACAAUGUCGGUAUUUACAAAUUUUGACCAUCUCUUUUGGAGAAUCCCAAAAGAAUACAAAAAUUCACAUUUUCCAUGGAUAGUGUGGUAUAUUUGAAAAGCCAAGAAUGACAAAUUAUAUUCAAAUACGGACAAAGACCCACAAGUUAUAUUCAGAAUUGCGGAAACAAAACAGUACUUUGGGAAAAGGCACAACAAAGUGAGGUGGAAACAAAUUUCCAACUAACAAGUAUCCCCUCCACAAGCCUCCACUAUAGGGGAUAGUGGUGUUAUAUAGAUGGAUCCUGAAAAGCAAUAGACAAGACAUCAAGUCUAGGGUGGUACUAUUUUAAAGAUGGAAUUAAGAAAAAUAUAAUAGGCGCAAUGAAUGUAUGGCGUAGCUUAACUCCACUUCAUGCAGAAUUCGAAGUUUUUAUCUGGGCAAUACUUUGUAUGAAUACGAACCAGAAGACGGAUGUAGUUUUUGCAACAAAUUAUUCUAAAUUAGUGAAGAUGGUGUCGACACCUGAGGAAUGGCCAUCCUUUGGAUUACAUUUAGAGGAGUUUGUGAAGCAAAGAAACUUUCACCUAUCUUUCGAUAAUUCAUAUACCACGCGCAAAGAACAUGAAGGCUGACAACUUGGCACAAAGUGCAUUGAUCUAUUCUUUAUGAUGUUAUGUAUGUUAAUUCGGUACUAUCGGUUUAGAUUACUGAACCGUUUUAAUUAUUUAGGCUGUUAACAAAAAAAAUUGGUUUCCAAAUUUAUGGCCGAUGAAGGUCAGAGUCGUACCGGUUUCGAGCUGUUAAGCGCUUAUUCACCGUUUAAGCAGCUGUAGCAUCCCUGUUUUCUAACAAAAAUAUGUAUUAGAGAGCUUUUUCAGUUCACAUUUGUAAAAAUGAUUAUGACAUUUUUUAAUUAGUUACACAAUAUAACAUCGAGUGGGUGUGAUCUUAGAGCGCGUUAUUCCAAGAAUGCAGUAUCAAUAAAUACUUCGAAGGUUUAAUUAAAUUUUAGCGACAUUAAAGUUUUGAUCAAUAAAACUAAAUUUUUAUUGUACCGCUUGACAAAACUAGUCCACGACAGGGAUAAGUGUCCUCUUCAUCGCAAUUUAUAUCCGAAAAUCUCAAGAAAUCAGUAAUAUAUUAUACUUUCUUAACAACCAUCUCGUAUAAUAUAAAAUAUCCCAUCUUUAAGCAAUGAUCGCAAGAAAGAAAAGAAAAGCAUCGCUUAAAACUUGAAAAUUCUUGUUUUAAUUCGAUUAUCUAUUGCGGAACUAAAUUAUCAAAAGAUCCCAUGCAUCAUUAGUUUUUUACUGAAAGAUUUGUACUCAAGGAGAACAUGUCUAGCACUAUAUGCUAGCUUCAGGUGAAAAUAUACAUAAAUCUAAAUAUACUACAUAAAAUUCGCCAUUCUUAUUUGAUAGAAAAUGAAAUACAACAAAAGCAUUAGAUAAACAUACAACAAAACAUAGGGAAAUGCGUCCAUACAAAACCAAGAACUACUGACAAGACAUUGAAGAUUCAAACUCAAAAACCGAAAGAAAUACUAACGGUUUCUACGCUUAGUUGGACCAAUUAUCUUGACGAGCCACUCCGGUUUGUAUGAAGCAAUGAUUUGUGCUAUGGUCAAUCCAAGUAACACUUCAGGCCCAUACGCUAUUGCCACAGCUUUCCAGUUCAACAGUUGUUCCUCUUCUUCAUCUUCAUCUUCAUCUUUUAUAGAGUGUUGUGCUUGUGGCACAUUACUCCCAAAGCAAGUUUCAUCCAGAGGAAGACCACAAAGCCCUGCAUCUCCUUCAAAAGAUGAUUUAGGCUGCCCGGUAAUUUACGUUCCUUGUGGUAUCUCACCCCUGAGAUGGUUUGUGAGACACAUUUAUGUAGGCCAAAAACGAGAGGCUUCCGAGUCCAUUAGGAAUAGUUCCUGAGAGUUGGUUUCUUGAUAGGUCGAGUGACUCGAGGUCAGUCAAAUUUGAAACAGACAGGGGAAUACCUCCUGUGAAGGCGUUGUUGGACAAGUUGAUGGCAAUCAGUGCCUUCAAGAGACCGAUAAAUUCAGGAAUCUGUCCUUCAAGUUUAUUCCCUGAUAAAUCGAUGGUGGCGUAGGAAUUAGGGGUCAUAGCUUGCUUCAUAUUUGAACCUUUGUAGUGCCUAUCUGUUGUAGCAGCCUCGGCGAAAGAUGUUGGACCGAUUGUAUCUCCGGCAAACACCAUAUAUAAAUUCUUGUAUUCAUUCUGAUUGAGUGAUGAUGCUUUCCAAUCCUCAAAGUAACUUGGUGGCAAGCUUCCAGUAAACUUGUUAUUAGAUAUCUCAAAUAUUUGAAGCUUGGAAAAUCCGUGAGGACCUUGAUGAGGAGGAGAUAUAUGACCAUAAAAUUGGUUUGAGCUGAGGAUAAGGACUCGCAAACUCGGUAAAGCCUUGAGCGAGAAAGGAAAUGUGUCUUCGAUUUGGUUGUUGUCAACGCUUAGAAACUCCAGAAAAGAACAAUUUAGAAGAGAUCUUGGAAGCUUUCCAGUUAUUUGAUUGUAGCCAACGUCGAGUGUCUCUAGAGGUGCAUCGGAAAAGAACUUAUCUGGGAUACUUCCUUCCAAGUUGUUGUUCCGGAGAUUCAUAUACUUGAAGUUACUCAGGCAUUGAGGAAUCAGACCGGUGAAGUUGUUGUAGCUCAGAUCAAGGUAAAGAGGUGAUAUUGAGUGGUAGAUCAGGAAGUGCUCCUUCUAAACUGUUUGACCCCAAACUUAAAAGCUGCACCGCUGAAUUUACUAAAAUUUCCGACGAACCUUCAAAGCCAGUGAUCAUAUUACUUUGAAGAUAUACUGUGCUCAGACGAGGAAGGCUCCAUAACCUCUUAGGGACUUUCCCUUUGAUUCUAUUGUAUGAUAGCUCUACCAUCUCCAAGUUCACAAGGGUCUUUAAGCUGUUUGGGAAGUCUUUGAUGCCACAUCCAGCCAUUAACAACCAUUCCAAGGUCAAUGGGAAAUCUGAACUUAAACUAGCUGGAAAUAUAUUGUUACCGGAAAUAUCGAGGUGCCACAAAGAUUGAAAAGAAGAUAAGAGACUUAAGUCAAGUGGGUAGCUUGUGUUUAGGAAAGAAAGAUCAAGAAAUAUGAUGUUGUUGAGCUUUGAGAUAGGCUCUAGGAUUUUUCCUUCAAAGUGGGUAUGGCGAAGGGAUAGAAUCUCGAGCUUAGAUGACGAAGAGGAGUUGAGAACUUCAAUAGGACCAGUGAAAUGGGUAUAACUCAAUACAAGAUAUGAUAAUAAAGGCUAAGUGAAGAGACUAGGAGGAAUGGUUCCAGAGAAGUUAUUAACUGAAAGAUCUAUAGAUGUGAGCUUGGUUAGAUUUUGCACCAUUGGGAUAUCAGUGAGAUAGUUAUAGCUAAGGUCAAUACCGGAAAGCAGACUUAGGUUACUAAUGGAGGAAGGAACUGGACCAACUAAACCAUGACAACAAAGAGACAGAUACUCUAAUUUGUUAAGAUUUCCAAGUUCAGAAGGGAGUGAAGGGUUAAUGGAGUUGCUAAAACGAAGCUUAACAAAAAUUUAGUCAUGCCCACAUUUUACCAAUGUGGGACUUUUAACAAUACUACUCUAAUUAAAACUCGUUAUGAUAUGAGCCUAAACUCUAACUAACAAAAAAAAAAAAGAAAAUUCUACUAAAAAAAAUGAGCAUAUAACAUUAAGUGUGGCCUUAAAAUUUUUUUAUAAAAUUGUGGCCUAAAGCCCACGCUUUACAAGCUUUUAAGGAACGGGCUUGCCUCUCAUUAUUGAGGAAAUAAGACACAACAAAUUUCUCUCUUUCUCUAAUUCGGAAUAGAAUCUAAAUCUUUUUUCUACUCCAGAAAAUGUGAGAUAUAAUUUAAAAAAAAAAUUAUUCUGGAAUAAUAAGUUUUUUUUAUUUUGGAAUGAUAAGUUUUUUUUUUUUUCGGGAUGAUAAGUUUUUUUUUAUUCCGUGAUGAUAACUUCGUUUAAACAUCUACGUCUCAAACACAUGUUUGAGAAUGGAGAGUUUGAGAUGAUCUACGACCAUAGCUCUUGGCUUGGGUUUUACCGAAAAACAAAAAAAAAAAAAACUCUUCAAAUUAGAGUUUUAAGCAUGAAUUUAAGAAUAACAAGCUUGCUUGAAAAUGAAAGCAAACAAAAAAGAAUCUGGUUCCUUUACUAAAUAUUAUUGUAGCUCUUUGUUUUAAAAUAUGUAUGUUUGUUCAUUAAUUAGUUAAUUAUUAAUAUUAUAUGUUGACAAUAGGCUUUGCUUUGUUUGCAGUGAGAUGCCUCCGGUAAAUACUAGACGUCAUGUCCCUGGAUCAGUCAAAAGAAUGCAGAAAAAGAAAAGUGACGAAUUUAUUAAAACUCAAGCUAAUUCUAUGCUUCAGUUUGUUACAAGAUCUCGAACUUCUAAAGUUGAUGUGGCUGUUGAGGAUGAGAUAAACGAGAAUGAAACUGAAAUUGAUGCUUGUAAGAAUGGUGAGAACGAGGUGCAUACCGAUGAGCAACAUAAAAGUGUUGAUGGCUUUGAGCAUAUGGAAGAGGUUAGAGAGCAAAAUCUCAUAAAGAUCAAUGAUAAACAUGCAAAAGUAGAUUUUAAUGAUCCUGGAAAUUGGAAAAGAAUUGAGAAAGGAGAGAGAGAUGUCCUGGUUGAAAAGGGUCCUCCGACCAGAUUAGCGGCUGAUUAUCACUUUCCAAGAGAUAAAAUUGGUAGGUGUUUUUCUCAUUCAUCUUAUACAAGAAAAAUGAGCAAUGGAGAGAACCAUGAUAGGAGAUGGCUAGUUUAUUCAAAAUCAAAAGAUCUUAUUUUUUGUUGGUGUUGUAAGCUAUUCAGCCAGGAAGAAGAUCGUCCUAUAUUGGCAAGUACUGGGUUUAGUGACUGGAGAAACAUUUCGUCUCGUUUGAAAGGACAUGAAACUAGUCAUAAUCAUAUUUUAUGCAUGACUAGAUGGACAGAGUUGGAAUUGCGACUUCAAAGGAAUAACACUAUUGAUAGACAUGCGCAAGAAGAAAUCGACAGGGAGAAUUUGUUGAGGCUUCUUUCGUUGGUGGAAGCUUUUGCUCUAAAUAAUAUUGCUUUCUGUGGAGAAAAUGAGAAGUUUGGUGAUGAGAAUAACGGAAACUUUAUGGGUAUGAUUAAGGCGAUUGCAAAAUUUGAUCCAGUAAUGAAAUAGCAUAUUCGACGGUUUGAAAAGGGUGAAACUCGUUAUCAUUAUCUCAGUCAUAAAAUUCAGAAUGAGUUAAUAGAGUUACUUGCAUCUAAGAUCAAGCUAAUGAUCAUCGAGAAGAUUCAUAAUGCAAAGUACUUUUCGGUAAUUCUCGAUUGUACUCCUGAUAUUAGUCGUAAAGAGCAAAUGACUCUUAUUAUACGAUGCGUGGAUAUUUCGGAGCUGUCACCCAAAGUUGUGGAGUUUUUUCUGACAUUCUUAGAAGUAAAAGACACAUCAGGAAAAGGACUCUUUGACACUCUACGAGAGGUAUUAGUUGAUCUAAAGCUGAAAAUUAAUGAUUUGAAAGGACAAGGUUAUGACAAUGGAGCAAACAUGAAAGGAAAAUACAAAGGUGUGCAUUGCUUGAAAUAAAUCCAAGAGCUUGUUAUACUCCAUGUGGAUGUCAUAGCCUUAAUCUCGCGCUUUGUGAUAUGGCUUCCUCAUCUACAAAAGCAGUGUCAUUUUUUGGGAUUGUUCAACGUAUUUAUUGUCUAUUUUCAUCUUCAUCUAAGAACUGGGAGAUAUUUAGAAAGAUGGUAAAUGGCAUAACACUCAAACCAUUAUCACAAACUCGAUGGGAGAGUCGAAUAGAUAGUGUGAAGCCUAUACGAUUUUAGGCUCCAAAAAUACAAGAUGCUUUAUUUUACUUGGCUGACAAUAGUGAUAAUCCGAUGCAUAGAAGUCAGGCUGAGUCUCUUGCUGAGAGUGAAUCACAUGGAAUUGGAGGGUUUGAUUUCUUAUUUGGAAUGGUUAUUUGGCACGAGCUUCUUUCUGCUUUUAACAUAGUAAGCAAGAUUCUACAGUCAGAGGACAUGGACAUUGAUGUUGCUAUUUGUCAAUUAAAGGGACUUGUGUCAUUUUUGAAAGAAUACGGGGAAACAGGUUUUGAGCGAGCAAAAGCUGAAGCUACACGAAUUGCAAAUGAAAUGGAGAUUGAGCCGACAUUUUAUGAGAAGCCAAAGCGUCUUAGAAAAAGGAAAAGACAUUUUGAUGAAGAUACUGAGAAUGAUGAUGAAAGUGUAGUAUUACUCGGAGAGGAGGGAUUUAAGGUGGAUUACUUCAUAAACAUCAUGGAUCAAGCUAUUGUUUCUAUUGAAACAAGAUUUGAACAAUUCCAAAGUUAUGAUAAAACUUUUGGAUUUCUGUUUGAUUUGAAGAAGCUUAAAUCAGCUAGUGAUGAUGAUUUGAUGGAAUCUUGUGUUAAGCUUGAAGAUUUUUUGAGGCAUGGUGCACAUUCAGAUGUAAACGGAGAAGAUUUAUGCUCUAAGCUUAUACUUCUAAGGAAAAGUUUACCUAUAGAAAUCAAAAGGGCGACAGAGGUAUUGAACUUUUUGAAAGGAAUGGAGGAUUUUUAUUCAAAUUCAUGCAUUGCUUAUCGAUUAUUGUUGACAAGUCCAGUCUCAGUUGCCUCUGCAGAAAGAAGUUUUUCAAAGUUGAAGCUGAUAAAAAAUUAUCUACGAUCAACUAUGUCACCAGAAAAGCUAAAUGGAUUAUCAGUGAUAUCUAUUGAAAAAUAUAUGGUUGAUAAACUCGACUAUGAGAAGAUUAUGAAUAAAUUUGUUGGGAGGAAAGCUACAAGAUCUGUUUUUUUUUCAAAAAUAAAAUUAUGUUGUUACAAUUUUUUGUUUUUUUUUACGGAUUUUUACAAUUUUUUGUUAUUUUGAGUAUUUUUUACCAUUAAUUUAUAUUUUUAGAUAUUUUUUUUUUAAUUUGAAAGGCCACAUCUUUUUUUAUGCUUUAAGCCACUAAAAAGUUUAGGACGGCACUAACUAUAUGCUUGAGGUGAAAGUGUACAUAAAUCUUGAUACGUUGCAUAUUUACAUUGAUUAUCAAAAACUCUCAUUUUAGAGAUUUCCAUUAAAAAUUCUAAAGAAGAUGCAUUUAUACACAACAUUGAAUCCUUGCGCCCUAAAUUAGACCUCUAUUUAAGCCCCCGUUCAGAUUUUUGUAACCUUCCUCUGUUUUUGCGCACAUUGUUGAAGCUUUUUCAAUAUUACAAACGCAUCCAAAAGGCUUAAAAUCUUCUAUGUAUUAACAAAACAUUGAUCAUCUGAAUAACCAGCAAAUGUUCCUCAGUAUAGUGGAGAGAAAAUGUCAAACAGCCAUUUGUCUCCAGAGAGUUUCUAUUACGAAUGCAACAUUAUUCACUCUUUACGAAAAGCUAUUUGCCAAAGCAUUUGAAUAGUAGCUAUGAAUAUCUCUGUACGUGGGUAUAGUACUGUUCAAUUAUAGGUAGGUAUAUGAUUCAAACCUUUGUUUGAUAUUUACCUUUGGGUCAGGUCAUUUAAGCACCUUGAAGGAGGACUUGGGUUUGAAACCAGCAGCCAUGAGCUUCUCUUGCUCAGAUAGAGAGUGGCGGAAGUGGCAACGGUGGCCGUAAGGACAGGCAUCACCGGCAAGAACCAUUCUGCAAACCUCAGUCUUGUAACGAGGAUGGCGGAUCACUGGGCGGAGUUCUUUAAUGCCGUGAGCGAAUUGGCAAUGGUCACCAUAUGGGCAUGUCCCUGUCUCUUGCCACUUGUUGCAUAGCUCUGUCUUUGUCAUCCCUUGAUUGUACACCUCCACUUCUAUUUCUUCCUCUUCUUCUUUCUUCCCUCCUCGCACAUAUACCUUUUGCUGCAUUUCAUUUCAUUCAUUCAUCACUUUUUAAUCCUUACAUCUUUAAAUUCUAAGCAGAGGAAUAGAAAACUGUGGUAUCAAUAUAAAAAGAAUCAUAUACGCAGCUCAGAUUCAACAGUUAAACAAGUCUAUAUAGUCUCGGUGACUACUUAUUUUCCAAAACACUGACACCAAAAUCGUUCCUAUAUCCACUCUAAUUAAAGCCUCCUCUCAGAAAUACUUUUUUCCUGCAUUUCAUCCAAUCAUGGCCCUUCAUUCAUCACCAUUAGAGGAUUGUGGUAUUAUAUAAAGAAUCAGAUAUGCAGCUCUGUGAUUCAUCAGUUAAGAAAAGUCUAUACAGUGUCUCAGUAAAUUACCUAUUUCCCAAAACACUAAACCAGAAUCGUUCCUAUAACGACUCUAAGUAAAGCAACCUCUUAGAUACAGGUUUUCCUGCAUUUCAUUCAUUCAUCACCACUAAUCUUGACAUCUAUAGUUCAGACUUCAAAGAAAGCAAACAUCAUCAAUACUGUUCUUCUUUUGUUUCUUUAUCCUGCUCAAACAAUCUAAAUCUAAACGUAAGUUGUGGAUAAUGUUGUUUCUCAGCAGAAAGCAACACCAACAAAUGAAUAAACAGUACAGGCAGCGAUGAAUUCAGAACAGAUCAACUGUUACCAACACUGAGUUUCUAAUCGAGGAUCAUGGAAUCUUCUAAAGAACGCAGAUUGUAAUCAGAUAACCAAAUCUUUAGUAUCAAUGAUGAUUCCCAAAUCACUAAACCAAACUUAUUACUAAUUAAGGCAAAAUCUCCUAACAAGAAAACAAAGAUAGUUAGUUACCGUCGUAGUGAGUUGUUGACCGCAAGUUCCAGGCUUAGGUAAAGUUCCACGAGAUUUCCCACAUUGAGCAGCACCACCUCCUUGGCUCGACUUAGAGUAACCGCUCGACCUCACGGAGAUGCUCUUUGGUAGCGAAGAACGGUUCACGUCCUCGUUCUCAAUCACACUCGUCGGACUCUCCUCGCUGACUUCAUCUCGAAUCGGCGCACGGUUCUGAUUCUCCGCUCCGUUGGCGUCGUGAUUCCCUCCGAUCGAGAGGUUGCUAAGCAUCCGAAGCGGAACCCUGUCGUGAUUGAGGCGGUUCUGGAUAGAGGAUCGGAUCAGCUGGUCAAGCUCAGUCUUGAGGUGACGAUUCAUCGAUCGGAGCUGGGCGUUCUCUAGACGGAGCACUUCGGCUUCAAGCGAGGCCUCGUGGAGGCGCGUGUAACACAACGCCUCGCGAUUCACCAUGUCUUGGCGCUGCUGCAUGACGUUGCGGCUGGAUUUGUAGAGCUGGUCGCAUAAGAGAGAAGGCGGAGCGACGCCGACGCCGGACGGUUCUCCUUGGGGUUUCAUGAUUCCUACGACGCCGGCGGAGCUGCCGCUGUAGGUAUACGGCGCGAUUUCGUUUUCCAUGGUUCUCGGUGAGAUUCCGGCGGUUCUGUUCUGCAAUCGCGAAAAAAGGAUUCGAGUUAUCAUCAAUUGAGAAGGAAGCUCGAGAGAUCGGAAGUUUCUGCAUCUGUAACGGCACAAGUAUAAAUCUCGCGAAGAAGAAAACGCAACCGUAUACGAAAUCUCUUCAAGCAAAUGAUAAUUGGAAAUUCGGAUUUCGAUGAACAUCGUCUUCGUUUAUACAAAUCGCGGAAAAUAACUGAAAGAAAUCCAGAUCUAGUUUUUCGAGAGUGAAAAUCGAAUUGAUACGAAAGAAUCAAAGAGAAAUCCGGAGUGAAAAUUGACGAUCAAGGCAGUAGAAAUUUACCUGGAGUAGAGAAGAACUACCGGGAAAAUCCGAGAGAAACUACCGGGAAAAUCCGAGAGAAACUGCCGAGAAAAUUGAGAGGAAAAUUUUUCGCUAGAGAGAGAGAAUCAAAGUUAGACAGAGAAAUUAGCUCGAGAGAGAACGCUACUAGCUAUUUAUACAGGCCUGGGUUUGCUCACCUCUUUGGAGGGAAAUUAUGAAGAAGGAUUUUAGGAUUUUUUUUAAUAUAUAAUUAAUUAAUGGAAAUAUCUGGUGGUUGUUAGAAGUAACUAACAGAAAGAAUCACCUCUGGUAAAAGGUUUCUCCGUGUGAAGUUGAGAAACUAGUCAGAGUCUUUACAGUCUUAAGCUAUAAUUACGGUUGUGCCACUAUAUAUUUUGAGCAUUUUAUGAGGAUUAUUUUGAUAUAAUCAUAUGAAUUUUAAAAUAUUGGAUGUAGAUAGUAAGAGUAAUGUGUUCUUUAUUGACAAUAAUAAUUAGGAGAAGCCAUAGUAGCUGGAAAUACUAAUAACCCGGCCCAGUUAUGGUUAAACGAAUCAUUUGUUUCAACUAAUUGCUUGAUUUUGAAGAUUAUUUCAAGGGAUAAGAUUGGUCUUUCCACAAAACUUGCAAGAUAGUGGAACUUUAAAAGAGGGUUUUACUUAUUCAUCACAACUAUAACUAACCCCUUUUAAUGGUCUUGUCAACAUUCAUGAAAACAACAAUUAUGGUUUUGGUAACACAAGUCUUACAAUUUACACUGUUUCCUAUCUUAUCAUUGUCAAUGUCAUUGUUUGUUAAGUAACCUUUUGAUUUAACAUUACGGAUAAAGUUAAAUUCUGGUGGAAUUUGGUGCAAACCUGUGAUUACAAAUUGGAUGGUGAAACAAAUAAAUCAUUAACAAGAACUAGGCUUCAUUCACAGUUGCAUGCAAGAAACUGAAUUACGUAAAUAAGAUGAACAGCUAGAUUAGUAUCUUAUGUACAAAGGCAUUAUGGUGAUGAACAAAGAGAUGUAGCAAUUCAGUAGCUAUGCAAUUGUACCGCGACUAUCUUUUGUGCUUUCUUGGGACAAUACUAAGCUUGUUUCUCCUCUCUGAAUCAAGAAAAAUAUAUGAAUAAGGAAUUAUCAAAAAGUUAAGAUAUACUGUACUCUUUUGUAUAACUUUAACAGGAAGACCGUCUUGUGUUAAGACUUACGUUCUUGCCCUCUUCUUCUCCUUGAGCCUUGAGAUGGCGUUUGAACGUGCAUUGUUAGAGAGAGGGGAACAAAAAGAGAUUACUUCCUCUGAGUGAUUGUGACUGCUUCCUCCUUCGUUGGAACUUGAGAAUGAACGAGAUGAGGAAGCUGGUGCAAAUAUGGAAUUAUUGAAUGGUAAAGAAAAUGUCUUCAUCUGAACACACACACACACAUACAUAAAAAGUAGAGAGAGACCUUAGGUUAUAUAACUAGAACAUUUAUAAUGGUUAUUAAACGAGAGUGAUUUGCUCUAGUAGACUCUAUAUUUGAUGGAAGAUUCUCAAACCUCACGCGGUUUGCGAGCUGGUGUUCCCACAAAUAAGACGUUGUUACUGUCUGCAGUUGGAUCAGGUUCAGCUCCAAAAAGCUCUUCAAAGUUUCGGAAAGUGAGAUCAAUGUCAGGUAUAUGGAAGUCAUCGUCAUCGCAAACUGUCUCUUCACAAACUCCAAUGUCUUGUAGGUUUUGAUACCACAACUGAAGAAACAGAGCUAAUCAUGUAACUAACUAAAUGGUUCCACAAAGAACUAUAUAUAUGAUAGUAAUGAUACUAACAGAACCAAACCUGACUGUUCUUGUUAAAUGGACUUUUGCAUUCCCAAAAGGAAUCACCAAGUGUGGAAGAUGAAGACAAGUGUGAAAAGUCAACAAUCAGCUCUUUCCCAGUCUGUGAAAGAUCGAUUAAUCGAUCUUCAGAUUGUUGUGGAAGCUCCAAUGGAGAAGGCUCAGCUUGUUCUGUCAAUGAAUAACCACCAUUCUCUUUCUUGAGCUGAAUCUUCUCCAGUUCAAGAAUCUGUUCCAAGAUAUAACCAGCUUCUCUUUGCAUCUAAACAGAGAGAUGGAAAAAUCAUCUACAAAACCUCAAAAGAACAUUAACUAAAAAAAAAAAGAAUCAAACCUUAGGUUUAACCAUUGAAAAAGAUUUCUCUAACGAAGCAUCAUCAUCAUCUGUAACUCGAAAACCCCACAUAACAGCGAAAUCUUUAGCAGAAGGGCAACUCGUAUAACAGCUCACUUCACGUCUAUGAUGCUUAGACGUGACACUACCAUGGACCUUGUCGUUGCAUCCUUUACAGAAAAACAUUUUGUGACCCAAACAUCGAACAACACAAGGCUGUUUUUUACAAAAAUCGCAUAAAAGCGUGCGUAAAUGUCUCCCUGAGAGUGCAUUAGCUGAAUGAACCUUUGCAUCACAUGUUAGACAAAGAUUUGCUGCAUCGGCUAUACAAUAAACCACCGCUCUAUAUGCUUUGCAAAACUCACAUAAUCUUUCCAUUUUCUCAAUUAUUUUUUUUUUUUAACCCAAAAUCCUUUGGAUUCGAGAAAAUAUCCAUUACUUAUGAGAAGAUUCGUCCCUGUUUCAUCAAAAUAUCAAAAAUUAUAGCAAAAGUUAGUCUGUAAUCGCUCAGAUAUCACAGAUCGAACACAGUUAAUACAAUUGAAAUCAAAAUAAUAAUAAAUAAAUAAAAAAGAGGAAAAUUUACCUGAAGAGAGUUAUGUGAGAAAGCUAAAAUCAGAGAGAUUCGUGACACAGCUUUCUCUGUUUUUAGGAACUUCCUAUCUGAUAAUAUCGUCGGUUCGGCUUUUUUCCUCUUUUUGUUAUGCUGGCGUGUCUAAGCCACGUAGAUUUUUGUGGGACCUACGUAUUGGUGAAUACGUUAUCCUUAUGCACGUGAGAUAUGGGGAAGCCACGGACGUAUGUUCCACUGUGACAGUUUUCUUUCUCGACCCAUCAUCCUAAAGCUUAGCUUUUUGUAACCAAUAAGAGCUAGCCACGUGUUGUAGCCAACCCGGACCGAACAAAAUACUUUUUCUAACUGAAAGAUACACCUAACCGAAACAAGCCAAAGAGUAUCGCCAUGUUUGGUAAAAAAAAAAACACUUGACUACCUGAUCAGCCAUUGAUUCAGUCUUAUUUGUUGAAAUUCUUUUAAGGAAUUUUAAAGUAACCAAGUGAUUACACAUCAUAAUAUUAUAAGCAAAGUAAAAUUUUGAGUUAAAGCUUUCUCAUUCAAUUUUAGGGUGGCUAAUUACCCUUUACCCCUUCUUAUAUUUUUUAAAUUAAUUUUAAUAACAAAAUUAUUAAAAAUUGUAAAUUAAUUAAAAAAAUAUAAAAAAUCAUAAUUAAAUAAAAAUAUUAAAAUCGUAACUAAAUAAAAUAUUAUAAAUCGUAAAUUAAUAAAAAAACUGUUAAAAAUCGAAAUUUAAUCAAAAAACAUUUAAAUUUAAUAAAAAUUAUUAAAAAUCGAAAUUUAAUCAAAAAAUAUUUAAAUAGAAAAUAACAAAAAUUUAAAAAUUAGAAUUUAAUCAAAAAAAUAUUUAGAAUCAUAUCAUAUAUAAUAUAUGCAAAGUAAAUUUUUCGCUAUAAUGUCUCUCAUUCUAUCUAGGUAACUAAUUCCCUUUUAUUCGUUAAUAAAAUUUUUUUUAAUUCCCCUUUAUUCGUUAAUCGGAUUAUCUGUUGAGCAAGAUUAUCUGAAAAAAAAAUGUACAUGUGAUGUGGGAAAUCUUACCUUAAGUUGAGAGCUAUAUAUAAAUAUAUUACUUUUUUAAAUGUAUCUUAAGCUCAAUUGUGGUUUGGUUUCUACAUUGGUCGGCUUUUUGUUGUAUUGUUUACCGUCUUUAUUUUUUAUAAAUCAAUUUUUCUUUUUUUACUAAUGUUUUUCCGUUUUUUCAGUACCAGUAGUAGUGUUCAUCGAUUAUAUAUUGUUGUUUUGUGUUGUCAGUUAUUCUUCCUUACUUAACGUGAUUGAAACCAUGUCAACUUAUCAUAAAUCAUCUUCAUUGUCUAAUGAACAGGUUUUAAGUCUUUUGUUUUUUUUUUUGCUUGUUUUAAAGAUGGCUUUCUGAAUUCUGUUUAUUUUUGGAAUAAUGUAAGAGAUGCCAAAUACUCUAGCAGGACUCAGAGGAAAAAACCAAAAAAGAAAAAAGAAAAAGGGAAAACGACAUAGAAAAAGAAGAGAAAAAGAUAAACUGAAACAUAUAGAAGAGCAUAGAGUUGACGAAAACGUAAAAAAAUGAGGAAAAAAUGAACAAAAAGUCCUAGACCAUGAACAAUAAGAUCAAGAUGGGUAACACAAAAUAGUGAAAAAGAAAAAUGAUAAGGAUCCGGAGAUGAAGAACUCAAUCUUGAAGAAGAAAACUGAAAGAAAAAGAAGAACAAAAAUGGUAGAUGAAGAAAAUAAAGUAUAAGAAGAUGAAAACCCGACGAUGAAAAAGAAAAUAAAAAAGAAGAAAGUAAAGAUGCAAAAAGGACAAACAAAAAUUAGAAAGAAAAAAAAGUUUGGAUAUGACAAAAAUGAUCAAGAAGAAAUUAAAAGUAGAAGAUAAAAACGGCUUAUAAAACCAAAAGAAGAAUAGUAGAAGAUGUUGAAGAAUAAGAGUUUAGAGAAUACAAAAACAAUAAAAUAAAACAAAGAAGAAGGGGCAGACAAAUAAAACAAAAAAAAUCAACAGAAAAAAACGAAGAAAAAACCGAAUGAAAAAAAAAUCAAGAAGUCAAAUAAGAUUAAUACAAUACAUAAGAAGAAAUAGUCAAAAACAAUGAAAGAUAAGAAGGAAAAAACAAAGAAUAGAAACGCUAAAAAAUAAAGAAAAAGAAGAAGAAUAAGAAAACAACGAUAAUAUGAACAAAAAAUAAUACAAUGAACAAGUAAGAUAAAAAAAUAGUCGGAGAGGUCGAUGACGAUAAAAAAAAAAAUUAAAUGACCAAUUGGAGCAGACAAAAGGUUAUCAGAAGAAGGAAGUAAAUAAAGAAAAAUUCCAGUUGGAUAGUAGAGGAAGUGGAAAGAAAAAAAAAUAAUUAAAAAUGGAAGAAAACUUGGGAGAUGAAAGAAAAACAAAAGUUAGGAAAAAGGUAAAUUUGGAUUGAAAAAAACCAAAGGCCAAAUCAGAUGAAUUAAGAAGUAAAAAAAAAAGGUGAAAGAAAAAUAUAGAAGGACCAAUUUGAAAACAAAAUAACGAUAAAAAAGACCUUAAAGUAUAAAGAAAAAACUUAAAAAGGAGAAAAUUGAAACCAUGAGAGGAGUAAAAAGACAGAUAAGGCAAAGAUCUUUAAAAUAUGAUGAAGAAUUUAGAGAGAUGAAGAAUAAUUGGAAGAAGAGGAAUAAGAAUCUGUUGAAGGAGAAAAAAAAUAGAAGACAAAGUAGAAGAAGAAGAAGAUAGGGAAGAGAAAAAAUUGGAUGAAAACCUUAAAAGAUGAGGAAUUGGAGAAAGUAGAAGAAUAUGAAGAUGAGUUAAAAGCCGAAUAAAACACCAGAAAAAUAGAAAGUCGAUGAUAAUGAAGAAGACGAUGGCAAUGAAAAAGGAAAAGAAAAAAAGAAGAAGAAAGAGAAUAAUAAAACAUUGAAGAAGAAGAAGAAUGGAAAUAAAACCUGGAAGAGAAGAAAAUCAAAAGAUGUAUGAAAGGAAAAAAGAAAAGAUGUGGAGAAGAAGAAGAAAACGUGAAAAAAAAAUCAGCAGAAUAAAAAGUAAAAAAAAAAAGACAUAGAAAGUGAAGAAGAAAAAAAACAAAAAAACAAAAAAAAAUGAUAGAGAAAAAAAAUUAAAAGAUAAAAAGAGAAAAAUAUGAAUAAUUCAUAUUAAUCUUAUUUUAGUUUGUGUUUAUUGAUUUUAUACACUUAUUAGUAUUGAUUUUAAAGUUUUUAUUGUUAACCAAUGAUUACUUUUAUAGGUUAACUUUAUUUUAAUUUUGUAUGUAUCAAAUUCUUGAUCUAAUUAUUUUUUAUUUAUGACAUAAAAUUUUAUUUUAGGUUUCAAUGAAACUUUUCGGUCCGCGCAAGUCGCGGACUAAACACCUAAUUAGAAAUUAGUUUUGAAAAUGUUUUUCAAUGGUAAAAAAAUUAGUGGAAUAACAUGAAAUCAAAAAGAUUAUCACUAUUUUUUCCUAUGUUUUCUUUUUGUUUUGUUUUUUUUUUUCAAAAUUAUCACCUUUGUUAUCAAAAAAAUGUAGAAAACUAAGCUUCAGAUCAAAUUUUCUUUUUCCAGCUCGAUUUGGUUUAAGAUUUUCAAGAGAUAGAAAGUUGAGAUUGGAUUUCUUCGGUUUUGUUAGGAUCAAAAUGGUUCGGUUUAGCUAUAUAUUGGACACUCCUAAAACAAAAAUGGUGAAUAUGUUAUCCAACCGAUGAAAGAAACUAGGAAAGGAAAAAAAAUUCAGAUAAAAUGUGAAAGGUCAUUGAUACAACACCAGAGUCUUUUAGCAGAGAUUCCUUCCAUGCUCAUGCUCAUGUACAAACUCUGGUCUUCAAAAAAGUUGAAUUGGAUCGACACACCAAAUUUGGCAGACCGAUGCAACAAGCAGGUGCGUGAGUUCAGUCUGCUGAAAGCUUCACCACCGAAUCCAAUUAGAUCCUGAAUCUUGAAUCUAUUGGAAGAUAAUGAACUUUACUAUACAAUAAAAGAUGAUGACUUCUUUAUCAGUUACCUGUUUGUCAUCUUUUUUUGGUGUGUACUUCAAUCAUAUCACCCUCCUCCAUCUCAAGAUUAGAAGGAGUGGUCGAUGGAUCAAUCUUGUCACCGUCGAAAAUAAAUACAAUGUUUUGCGGGUCGAGCUUUACUUUAUCAGUAUACAUUUUGAAAACCCGCUCAAACUUCUCAUCCUACAAGAUAAUGGUAGAAUACCAAAUCAACAUGAUCAGUAUACAAAGGCAUCUCAUAUAUUACAGGAAAGGCAUAUCAGGUUUGGACAUGUGAAUUAGAAAAUAAAAAGAGGCCGUAGCAUCUCUAUAAAUCUAAGGGAUUGGACGCUAAAUUAAACAGAGAUAACAAAAAAGAAAGCAUAAUGUGCUGCUCAUAGUACAUUGCAAAGAGCAACCAAUAUUUCAUUAUGUGUGUAUAUAUGCUAUGUUGUGACGAAACAUUGAUAAGAACAAGAAAUUAUUCUCUCUUCUAUUAGAUGAAAUCAAAGUGUAUAUCAGAAACCAACCAAAGGAAAGACAAAUACUGGGUUUUUUCUACAAUCCUUAAGCCUCUAAAAGAUCCCCUAAACCCUUCUCAAAUCGUCAACCCCUUCAAGGAUCUCUUCAUUCGACUAUUUAUACUCAUGAUUUUCUAGAAAGCUCGAAAUACUUUGCUAUCUGGGGAUAUUAGCGAGGGUAAUCAAAGCAGUGAUGUACUAGCCAAGUCUUAUGUAUACUUAUAGCAUGCAAAGUUUAGAUAGUAAGCUUUUUGCUACUGCAAGGUUGGCUAGUAAGUCGCAAGCAGUGAGAGAACUUACCGCAUACACCCGGAAUUGCUUCUGCCCAUCUUUGUCCUGUAUUGUAAGGACAAGCUUGGCCCUGUCAUUAGGCCCUGGUGGUGCCUGAGUAGCAGCCUCUGGAGAUCGAUUGACUGAUACUUCAGCUUCUCUUUUGGCAGACUCCUCGGCUUCCUGCAUCACAUCCACUACAGUUUUCGUGAAUGUCAUGAGCUCCAUCUUCUUCGACCUACAUUGCAUAAUUCAAUUAGGAACUUAGAAUCAAAGUGUAACAAAGACACUCGUUGGGGAUAGCAAAAACAGAGUAAAAAGGAAACGACACUACAUUAAACGAAAUCAUAUCAUCAGGGCGCAUUAACAAACAAAAGCUAGCAGGAUCAAAACUCAACGCUUCAUGGGAAAGUGAAAUCAACCAAGAGAAGAUAGAAAAAAAACCGUGGCUUCUAAUAGCAACAUGGGAAUCAUAGAGCUUAGAGAUACUCGACCAUACAAAACUACCUCAAUGCUUUAAUGGUUGAAUCUUCACCGGGCUCUUUAUUUUUCUCGAAUACAACCUUUGGCGGAGGAGGCAACCAAUCAUCAUCACCCGCCACUUCAAUCACUUUCACAUCUUCAUCUUCAAUUACAAACUAUACAAAAGGAAAUCUCAAUGUUUCAAAAAAAGAAAGACAGGUGUGACUUUACUCAAGCCAAAAUAUACCAUAAAUGCCAAGCCAAUAAAAAGAUUCAGACUCAGAAUUGUGAAGAACAAAACCUUGAAUCGUCGAUUACAGUGGACCAAAGCUAACAAUAAACAUAAACAGAACCAAGAAAAACCGCAAAAAUGAAUCAAAGAACACUUUCAAAUUCCUAACGCUCCCCAACAACCAAAUACCAUGAUUUACUAAUGUGUUCCCAAAAUUCUCUCAGAGCUCAGUGACGGAGCAAAUCAUAAAGAUCAAUUCUUACCGUUUGGGAAGUUUUUGCUUUCUUCUUAACCGGAACCUCAGAGACAUCAGAAUCGUCGUCUGCAAGGGUUCAAAGCCAGAAUUCAUCUCUAUAUUCGCGCUCAGUCACCAAAAUCAAAAAUUGAAACUCACCGUCAAUGCAAACGAAAUUCGCCGGCUGAACACGAUGAUAGUCAAAAAGUGGCUCUAGAUCUUCGCCCUCGCCUCCCUGAUCACACAGUAAUACACUCAGAGACCAGAAAACAGCACUACCAAAAAAGCAAGAUUGGAAAAAACGAUAAAAAGUAAAUUAGGGUUUCGAAAUUAGGAUAACUAAAACACAGAAAAUCUCACCAUUGUAGAAAUUUAUGAGUUCUUCGCCUGCUUAUCAGAGAAACCCUAGAUACGUUUUGACAGAUACUGUUGGGAAGAGAUCGAUGAUGAGCUUCAGGCACUCGAGUGAUUUUGAAUUUUGAGAUGAUGGAGGAAGCGGCGAUUCGGCUUCGAUGUACGCGCGUGGGUAAUAUCUAAAUAUUGGGCCUAUACUUUGGGCCCGGAAUUUGGGCCGACUUUUUCAUUUAGAAUUUGUGCAAUGUAUGUAUUAUUAACCAAAUCAAGGCCGAAGAUUCACGUUUCAUGGAUUCGGUCGAAGAUUCGCGGUUUGAUGAUACAGAGGGAUGUUUCUUUAGCUUUAAGAAACAGAUUAAUACUUUAGACCAUAUUUAUUGGGGGUUUCUCCCUGGAUUUUUAGUGAAUUAAUGGCCCAAAAAAAAAAAAAAAAUAGCUUAGAUCAUAAAGAUUGAUCCUUCUUAAACAAGUGUCACGUUUAUGGUUGGACGAUAUCUGUCUUCCGCCGACGAUUCGGUUCACAAACUGUCUCUUCACUUUUUUAUUGAAUUUGGACCAAAUUAGUUUUUUUUUCAUUCGGUUGAAGGCUAUAACUUUGUUAAUUCAGGCUGGAUGUUUUCGUUUGUGGAGAUCAAAUAUGCAAAAGAGCUGCUCUAAACGCUGUUCAUAUUGCUGAAAUGCUUCUCUGAAUUUGAACUCCUCACUUUGGCUUCUUCUAAUUUUGACUAGAGAUAUCAUUUUGAGCCAAGAAUUUGCUAGUUUACAAGUUCUACGGGGAAGAACUCCUCACUUGUGGUUGCUAGUUUACAAGUUCUAUGGGGAAGAACUAGGUGAAAUAUUUGGUUAUGAGGACAUCCUUAUGGUUUGUACACAUUCGCUGGUAACACCUCUUCUCGCUUUUUUCAAUAGGUCAAGACCAUCUUUGAGCUAUGGAUCAUAAUUCAAUUAUCCUUGUAAAUUUGUAAUGUCAUUUUGAUUAUGAUCACAUUUGCUUCAAACGCAAAUUUUUAUAUAUCAUUCAUGUUUUAUAAUAGAUCAAUUUUUUUUUAAAAAAAAUUAUAUUUUGAGUUUCUCCAAUGAACCUAAAAAAUCAAGUUUUUUAAUGGAUUUUUUUAAAUUUAAUACUAUUAUAUAUAUGGCGAAACCUAUAAGGGUUUCUCCAAUAAACAUGCUUUUAAACCAGCAUUAUCGCUGUUUCUUAUGUUGUUUCUUAGACUUUAAUGGCAAUUAAAAAAUUAGGUGAGGCCCAUUAAUAAGAAGGAUUUGUUUCUUAUUUGGCAUCAGAAGGAUCUGUUUCUUAUUAACAACGUGGCAACACCUGAAUGGUUAAAAAGCUAUCGGUGACAAAAAAACUUUGGGGACAACAUUUUCUCGGUUAUUUUGUGUCCUGGGUUCGACGAACCUCUUGGCUAAAAUCAAAAAAAAAACCAGAUAGAAUUUCGUCGAGAUGAUUUCUUGCUCUAACCACAACUCGAUCUCUUCGUCGACUUCUCCGGCGUGCAUGGUCGUCUCUGCCAGUCCGAAACGCGGCUAAACCCUCCUUCGUCGAUUUCUCCUUCGAUUUGACAGAUAAGUUUGGGUUUAUGAUGCUGAUUUUGAUUGCUUUUUGUGUCCUGUAUUUGUUUAGUCGGAGUAACUGAAAUUGUUAAAGGGAGGGAGGCUACCUUUAGCUUGUAUAUCACCAUCUGAUUUUCAUAAUCUCUCCAUCGGUUUCAUCUUGGAUUUAGUUUCAACAUAUGUCAUGAAUUAGUUUGAGAAUCGAUUAAUUAUCCAAGUUUACUGAAUGAUAUAGUAGUAAACUGUGAUCAUGAAAGUGUAAUGUUAAUGGGUCAUGGUAUAUGAGUCUAAUAUUGUGUCUACAUUAUUGCAGGUUCAGCUCGGAACAAAGGUUGUAAACCUAUUUGCUGCUUCGGCUCGUGGAGAUUGAGUUCAUAAAAGGCGGUAUGAAGCUGUUAAGGUAUGUCUUCAAUUCAGUUAGAUGAUCAUAAAUACCUAGUUAGUGUAGAUAAUGGUUGCCUAAUGUAAUAAAUGGAGUACUGAUGAGUUUAGUGUUAGAUAUAUGUCUAGUCAAUAUGGUUAGAUACAUGGCUUGAAUGCUGGAAAACUUUUUGGAUUUGUUUGGUUAGAUAGUGCUUGAAUGCUGGUUAAAUGCUGCUUUGUUUGCUUUCUUUGCUCUAGUUAAAUGCUGCUUUGUUUUCUUGUUUUUAAGCCGGUGCUUGUUUGCUUUUAUGCUUUGUUUUCCUUCUAAAACUUCUUCUUUUUCCUUGUUGUUCUGGUUUGCUUCCUCUCAUUGCCUCGGUGGUGGUUCUCCUUCUUCUCUUUGCUUCAUUCUCUUCUUCUCGUUGCUUCCUCUCAUUGCCUCGGUGGUGCUUCUCCUUCUUGUCUUUGCUUCAUCUCCUUCUUCUCUUUGCUUCCUCUCAUUCUUCUGGGUUGUGCUUCUCCUUCUUAUCUUUGCUUAUUGGCAUCUUUACCUCUUCCUUGAACCCUAUGGUUUUCCCUUCUGCACCUCCAUCUUUCAACUUUUUUGAACUCUUCAACAGCCAACAAGACUCAGUCUUCUGCGGUUAUGCUUCUAGUUUUGCUGAAGGCACCUCUGAGUUUGCUGCAAGCAUUGGUGAAGCAUCACCUGGAACAGAGAAGAAAGGAAGAAUGCAGUAGAGCCCAAGUGAUGAUAUUUUGCUCAUCUCCUCAUGGUUAAACACGAGUAAAGACCCAGUUGUGGGUAAUGAGCAGAAAUCGGGUGCGUUUUGGACACGCAUAGCCAAGUAUUUUGCUGCUUCACCAAAUGCUGCUGGUUGUGAAAACAUAGGGGUCAUCCAGUGCAAGCAAAGAUGGCAGAAAAUAAAUGACCAAGUAUGCAAAUUUUGUGGAGCAUAUGAAGCUGGAACGAGAGAGAGAACAAGUGGUAUGAAUGAGAAUGAUAUUCUCAAGAUGGCACAUGAAAUCUUCUAUAACAACUACAAGAAGAAGUUCAAUAUAGAACAUGCUUGGAAGGAGCUGAAGAAUGAUCAGAAGUGGUCUGAACUUUCAACAAGCAAAACAGAUGGAAACUCAAAAAAAAAGAUGUGAAGAUGCCUCACAAUCCGCAAGUAACAUGGCUGGUGAUUCAAAUGCUUGUGAUGAUGAAACUAGAAGCAAGAGACCUCCAGGAGCGAAGACAUCAAAAGCCAAAGCAAAGAAGAGCAACGUAGAUACGACGGUUCCUGUGGUUGAGUUUCAGUCCUUGUGGCAAAUGAAAGAGAAGGACUUGGCAAUUAAGAAACAGUUGUCAAGGAUGGCUAUACUUGAAAGUCUUCUAGCCAAAAAGGUGCCACUUGAAGACUAUGAGAUAGCUCUAAAGAAGACGCUCAUAUCCGAAAUGAUGUAGCUUCUUGUUCUGUUCUUGUUCGGUGUUUGUUUUAAGGUUUUACCUUAAGUUUGUUUUAAUGUUUUAACUUAAGUUGUUGUUCUGUUUCUGGAUCGGUGUUUGCUUCUUGCUCUGUUUUUUUUUAUCUCAAGUUGUUGUUAACUGUCUUUGUGUUUCUAUUAUGUUGUUGUAAUAUGUUGUUUGUGUAAUAGUAUGUUGUUCAUUGUCUUUCUAUCACUCGGUUAGCAUGUAUGAUACAUAAACCUGUAUGAGACAGUUUGUAUCAUUAUAGACAAGAUUUGCACUCAUGUAAGAUACAUAAACCUGUUUGAUAAGAACUUCUAGUUUUUGUAUAACCAGAUAGACUUGGUUAGAUUUUAUGUCAUAAUAUUCUUUGUAUACAUAAUCUGUUGAUUUUAUGUCAUACUCUUAAUAUUGAUUUAUGUCCUCUAGAGUUUUAUAUUGCAGAAUACUCGAUGUGUGUGCAAACGAACAUGAUGGCAAUCUCAUAGAUAAAUUUAUCAACAAAUGACUAAUUGUUUUUCUUCGACUUUGUUUGUGAUUUUUUUUUGUGUCUCAGGUUGAGAACUAUUGUCGGCACAUAAUUACAAAGGUUGGGUUAUGGUGGGUACAACAAAACAAUAGACAAUGUCACAAGUCUUUGUCUUUUUUUUUUAUGCUUGUCGUUUGUUUAUUUUUAUUUCAUACCACAAGUUUGUUAUCCUAAGUUUGAGACCACAAAAUGAAAGGAAUAUUUCACACCACAUGUAAAAUAUCACUCGUCUAUAUAUUUGGAGUAAUGACCCAUUGUUUUAUCAUAUCUUCAUCUUCGAUGUUCUCUUCUCCCAUUUUAUUCUCCUUCUUCAUUGAUUAAAAACAAGCUCUCGAAAGGCCUGGUCUGUCUGCACUUCAGAAGUGUACAGCUGUCAUUCGUCUCUUGGCAUAUGGCAGUGCGGCUGAUACGGUGGACGAAUACUUCCGUCUGGGUGAAACUACGGCUCGUGCAUGUUUGGAACAUUUUGUAAAAAGAGUAAUUGAUCUGUUUGGUGAUGAGUAUUUAAGAAGACCAACCCCAGAGGAUCUGCAACGCUUGCUUAAUAUUGGAGAGUAACGGGGAUUUCCUGGAAUGAUAGGAAGCAUUGAUUGUAUGCACUGGGAGUGGAAGAAUUGCCCAACCGCUUGGAAAGGGUAAUAUUCAUGUGGUUCAGGAAAACCUACUAUCGUUUUAGAGGCGAUCGCUUCAUAUGAUCUGUGGAUAUGACACGCGUUUUUUGGACCUCCAGGUACCUUAAUCGAUCUCAAUGUUCUUGACCGCUCACCUGUUUUUGAUGACAUAAUACAAGGUCACGCUCCGAAAGCAAAUUUUUCUGUCAACUGAAGGGAGUAUAACUUAACAUACUAUCUCACUGAUGGUAUUUAUUCAAAAUGGACAACGUUUGUCCAAUCUAUUAAACUUCCACAUGGGUAAAAAGCUUGAAAAUUUGCUGAAAAACAAGAAGCUUAUCGAAAAGACGUCGAACGUGCGUUUGGAGUCUUGCAAGCUCGAUUUGCCAUUAUUAAAAAUCCAGCUAUGUUUUGGGAUAAAGCUAAAGUAGGAAAGAUUAUAAGAGCUUGUAUCAUACUCCACAAUAUGAUAAUAGAAGACGAAAGAGAUGGAUACAGACAGUUUGACGUUUCAGGUUUCCAAAAUGGAGAAGGAAGCAGGAGUUCGUAUGUGGAUCUCACGUAUGAAACAUCUAUGCCUUCAAACAUAGCCGAUAUGAUGGGUGUUCGGAAAAAAAUUAAGGAUAAGCAACAACAUCUACAAUUGAAAGCUGAUUUGGUGGAGCAUGCAAUAAUUGAGUUUGUAUUGAUAAAUUUGAUUAAUAAAUGUUUGAUUUGCUAAGUUUAUGUAUGUUUGUGUUGUUUUUAUGUUAAGAAUGUAAUAAUUAACACUUUUUUAAUUUUAAAUAAAAAAUAUAUAUUUUUUAUGCUUAAGAAACACAUAUAGAGUUUUCCCCAAUGCACCACAAAAAAUAAGUGUUUCUUAUACAUAUUUCUUAAUCCAACUAAAUGCAUUAAAUAAUGCUAAGAAACACCAUUUGUUUCUAAGCGAUAAUGAUGCUCUAAUAGUAUUGAGUAGUUUUCUUAAGAUGUAAAUAAAGGUUAGACCAUGUUUAUUAGAGAAACACAGAUGUGUUUCUUAGGGAUUAUUAAACUAAUAUUGUUAAGUUAAGAGAUUUAUUAAGAAAUCUUUUUUUUUUUUUUUGGUAUAAUAGAGAAACCGUAAUGGGUUUCAUUGUGUGCUUCCCGCUUGGCCAAAUCAUUGCCUUUGAUUUCGAGUUUCUGCUUCUCCAACUCCAGCAGUUAACGUGGUCCAAUGUUCUCUCUUGUAUAGCAUUCAACUAUCUUUGGAUCUUCAUCUUCUUUUGUUUCUUUACUCUCAAUAGACACCCAUAUUCUCGGGAGAUAAGCUCCUUUCACAUCUUCAUCCCAAUAUAGCUUUGGCAGACGUCUCUUUGAUCGGAAACGGCGAGAAUCGGUGAAGGCGGUGAGGCGAUUCAGAGAAGGAAGAGACGAAACAGAUUUCGUCGAGGAAGAAAGAGAAAUGGGAAAGGGAAAAAAAAAUUGGGUCGCCAUUUCAUCAUCCAAUCAAGAUCCGACAUGUGGCGUCAAGAAACGUUUCUAUCGAAUGCGAAAUAAGAAACGUUUUUCGCUUAAUAACUUAUUUUUCAUUUAUUUAUCGGCCCAAAAUUGCUAAGAGAUGGGUUAAGAGAUGCCGAUAAACAUGCUUUUAGGCAAAUAUUUUUAGAUGCCUCUAUUAAACAAUAUUCUUACGAAAACUUGUUGAAAUGCAUCUUUAUUUAGCUUUUUGGGUUUUUUUUGUGCAGUUGCACUGAUGUGUUUAGACGAUACAAGAUAAAUAGAGAUUAAAAAAAACCGAGUUUUACUUAACAUGUUCUCACUAUUAGCAAUUUUGUUCACUUUAGUUUAUAGCUAUUUCUUCGAGUUUUUUUUUUUUGCAACUGUACUAACAGGGUAUAAUACGAUUUUGUUGUGGACAAUGUGUUACGCUUAAGUGUGUUAUCCUUUUCGUAAUCAUUGUCACAUUAUCUAUAUCAUCGACUAUAUUGACGUCCAAAUAAAAAUUUGAUCGCCACAAUUAUUAUUUAAACGAGUUACAACAUGCAAACGAAUCAAAGAUAAUGGUCGUCAAUUCGUCAUUCGACGAUGUUUACAUAAAAAUAGUCUUGUUAAAGCCAUGGUUUUGUUUCACGAAACGCCGUUUUCGCCUUGCAUCCUCUUUGCCUCUUUAUUUUUUUGUUUUUUGUUUUUUUUUAAUUCAUCCACUCUCUCAUAGUUAACUUAAUAUGUAGUCUAUAAUUCAUAUUCAUGUUCGCAAAUUCCUUUAAUCUAUUUGUCAACUGUUUGUUAUUCUUAUAUCUGCGAUAUAAUCUUAUGAGUUAAUUUUUAUAACUAAAGAACAUAAAAGCAUAAUAGGAUAAGUGGAUAACCAUGAAAGUUAGAUCAGGAGGAGGGAUCAUACCGAUGAGAUUAUGUACCCAAUAGUAACUACCUGCGUNNNNNNNNNNNNNNNNNNNNNNNNNNNNNNNNNNNNNNNNNNNNNNNNNNNNNNNNNNNNNNNNNNNNNNNNNNNNNNNNNNNNNNNNNNNNNNNNNNNNNNNNNNNNNNNNNNNNNNNNNNNNNNNNNNNNNNNNNNNNNNNNNNNNNNNNNNNNNNNNNNNNNNNNNNNNNNNNNNNNNUUCCUCUCCACUUCAAAUUCUUCCUUGCAUAUCGCACAAACCUUCUCUUUCACCAAAUCUUCUUCCCCGAUGGUCACAUUCUUUACAGCCUCGAUGGCAGCUAAAGAGGCCGGUGGUGGACCGACACGUUCGUUAGGCAUGACAUCAACGAAUUGAUCAUCAUCGGUAUUAACUAGAUCAUGGUUGAACCGGCUUCUAGGUGAGUUGAUAAGAUGGAGAGUGAUCCAAUCGGUAUCGGUAUCCCAAUAAGGUCGGUUUAGCCUCAUAAUGUCAAGCUCAUCGUGAAGAUUGAUCUCUCUUGAACAGAAAGGACAUAAAGGACCAUAUAGACCAUAGUUUCGGAGCCUAAUGGUACGGCUACAAUGACGGCAGUAGAAGUAAUGGAACGUUCUUGUUCUUCUUGUUCCGUUCACAAUAACUCUUGGUCGAUACUCAGAUGUCAUGUGUUAACGUGGAUUUUUGGAUCCUUUUCCUUUUCUUUUUUGUUGUUGGUACGUAGGGUUUGAAAAUAUGCAUUUAUACCUGAAUACGUGUACAUGUUUUCAAGACGAGGCAAGACGAAGCCUAUACGAAUGAGUUAUUCUUUUCUGUGUCUAGGACCGUGUCGUAUGGCCUUUGCUAAACUCACGAAUCUUUUGGUAAUUUGUCUUGUACGAAUCAAAGAUUCAAGAGGAUGCUUGGGGAAUCAAUUAUGACAAAGGGUUUAGGUUUAGGAAAGAGGGUUGUUAUUCUACCGGCCCAUUAUCGGCCUUUUACGGUUUUGCCCAAAUCUCCCAAUAUAGGCUGUAAGUGAUAUCGUCUACUUAAAAAAAUUUGAAAAACAAAAAGGUCAAAAUUUUGAAUAUGUAUAUAUGAAAAUGAUAUUCCUGAAAAAAAAAGUUAUAACGAAUUGUUUAAUUGAGACGGUCCUGUGAAGUGGGCAGUAUGAUAAAGCUUAGUCUCAGAGCUGAAUAAAUUAAAAGUAAAAACAAUCAAGAUUUUACAGUUUUGUAUUGUUCUUAAAUCGAUAAUCCGACAUCUGAAAUUUUGGAUUUUUUUAUGUGGUAGUCACGAACACGAAGGCACAUCAUAACCUACAUACAAGGCUAAAGAAAUCGUCGUCCUAGCUACUAUAGAUAAAUAAUCCAUAUAAUACUCCAUAAAUCGUUUAUUUUAGCUUACAUAAAUAAUUAGUUAAUAUAUAGAUAAUUAGUUAAUAGCUAGAAGAUAUAUAAAAAGUAAUUAAUGGUUGAUUUGAAUAUGGAUUCAAGGGACACUUGCACUACUUAAAGUGGGGAGAUUGUUGAGUGUGAUGUCUUUGCUAGUCUUAUUUGGUUCAAUAAAAUCCGAGGUCGUAGUGAUAAUCUUCAUUUCCUUGUUUUUACCCCAUAGCACAAGGUAUAAUCCUCCCACGAUAACCACUGUACCAAUUAUGCUGUAACGUCGGCAAGUAAAAAUAAAACCAUUAUAUACAUAUAUACAUCGCCAAAUCCAUCUCCACAGAAAACAAUACAAUGUUUUUUGUACCUCCCAAUAUGAAGUGUUUCAUCUAGAACAAAUGAUCCGACAAGGGCUACGAUCACAAGUCCUACAGGGCUAAAUACCGAUACAAAUAACGGCCCUCUAGACUCGACGCACCAUGCGUUGACAGCUACCACCAUCCCGGAAAUCACAAUUGCCUGCGAAUUAUACCACAUAAAAUGUAUACUCUUUCUCAACAACAAAAAAAAAAAAAAACACAUAUAAAAUGUCUAUACAUUUUCAAGGCCAACCUAAAUGAAUCUUCUCUCUUGGACUUGUAUGAAUGUGUUAUGUACACCAAAAAUACCAGUUGUCUUUUAAGAAAAUUAUUUUUUCAUCAGUGAAAUAAAAAUAUUUACACAUGGCUUUCAAAUAGUUAAAGAAAACAAUGAUAAUGUAUAUUCUACUACCACUUUUUCUGACAAUUUUUUGACGAUUUAUGGACGAAAAAACAUUUAUAGAAACAAACUGAUGAAAAAGGUUAUCUUUCUGUAUUGCGUCAAAAAUAUAUAUAUUCUCUUUACCGCAUAAGCAAUGGUUAAGAGCCUGAUAUUCCAUCCUAGCUUCCAUUCCUUCAAAUCGAUGUUCCAGCAAAGAGCUACUAGCACAGCCACUAUACUUCCCAUCAUGUUCAUUAGCGUUGCGUUCCAAUAAGGCCCUCCAAAUCGUUUGCUUACUUUAACCUGCAUUAAACUAAAAACCAUGAGCAUAAAGUGAAACCAUUUGAUUAUACUACUUUCACAUUGUCUAGUGACUCUAGUCCUAUAUAUCACAAAGUAAACAUUGCAUGAAGCCAUGGAGGUUGCGGAAUAGUUUAGAAAUCACAUGCCUUAUUAUAUAGACACACACACACACACUAACACACAUACAUGACAAUAUGGAGAAGAUAAAUGAAAAGGACUUGCCUGCAAUAAUAGCCAAAGUGAAUAGGACAAGUUACCACCAAAAAUAAGAAGAGCCCCAAGGAUAGAGAUGUGAUGAUUGGUAGCAUCACGUGAGGAGUCCCGUGGUUGUUUCACUAGGUCAACGUGAGUUGACCAUAGAUGGAUAUCUUUUCCUCUGUAGAAUAUGAAGACAAGAGCUCCACCAACGCCAAACAGAGUUCCAAAAACCUUAGCCUUCCCUUCGCUCGAUCCAAACCGUACACUCUCCAUCCUAUAGGACCCGAUAGAAUUUAAACGGAUUUUUUUUUUUUUGUAAGGUGAUAAGCCUAAAGAAAUGGAUAAAAAAUGGUGGUUUAUUGAUUAGACUUGCCUAAGAAAUGCAGCCAAUAUGAAAGUGAUCAAGGGGCUGAGAACGGCAGCAGCCGAGGUGAAUGUUGCUGAUGUCAGAGCCAGACCCGUAAUGGUCAGAAUACUUGGUAUAACCGCACUGUUCCAUUAUCACCAAAUUAUUGUAAACUUGUAAAUUAUAAACUUGUAUUUUUGACUUCGUAGAUAGUGAAAUUGGUAUAUAAAUUUAACCUAUAAGAUGAGUCUUCUACCCGUUGCCCAAAAAAAAAAAAAGACGAGUCUUCUACGACGAGACAUUUGACCAUACGCUCCUGAUUAAAUUUAUUGUUUGAUUUUUUUUUUAAGUAGUAGUUUCAGCCUAAACUUAGCCUAAACCAUUGGUUGAUAAUAUUGAUUAAUAUGGUUGAAACUACUAUGUACCAUGCACCCUAAUUCACCUUUAGUUUAUCAUAUUUGAUUACGUUAAAACGUUAUCGUCUACAGACUCCUAAAGUUUUCUACGUCUUGGUUAAAUUUUAAAUGUACAAUAACUGGUUGAUAAUAUUGACAAUAUAUGGUUAUAUAUAUAUAUAUAUAUAUAUAUAUAUAUAUAUAUAUAUGUGUGUGUGUAGAGUCUAGGCGAUUACUUGGAAAAUUAGUGUACUCUAAAAUCUUGAUUGUUGUAGAGCCUAGGCGAUUACUUGAAAAAUUAGUGUACUCUAAAAUCUUGAUUGUUGUAGAGCCUAGGCGAUUACUUAUAAAAUUAGUGUACUCACCUAGCUAGCUAGUGGCUUUUAUUUUUGGAAAGUGGUUUGCGUCUAUAGAGAGAAUUGAACAUAUAUAGGAUUAUGCUACAGAGAACUGAUCAUAGGAUUAUGCGAGUUGUCUAACAUUCACACAAUAUGGGUUUGAUCAAUUUAUCAGUUUGAAGAAUAAUGUUUUAGUUUGAACAUAUAUAACUUUGGCCGGCUGGUAAGAAUAGAAGUUGCAGUUUUGAACAUAUGUAGAGCUUGAAAAUCAUUUUUUUUUUUUCGUGUGACAUUUUUUUACGUACCCGAGUAACCCCGAGAGAAAUGCUAGUAAGAAUAGACUCCAUGUGAACUCUGGCCUCUUCUUCCUAAUCGAUCGAUCACAUGGAUUUAAAAACAAGAAAAUUAACCAAAGUGGAAAAAAAAAGCAACUAGUAUCAAUAUCAAAACAUACAAACACAACCACAUAUAUGAGAAAAGCAAAGCAACCUUUGAAAGAUGAAGGAAAGGGGAAGCAUGAAAAGUGUAGCGAAGAAGAGACGAUAGGCCACGAGAACUCUUGGUUCCAUACCAUCUUCCACUACAAGCUUGAACAAUAUGUUCAACCCUGCGGUUGCUAUCUGAACCACCACCAUUGCCGUUAUACCCUUCAUUUCUCUCCACAUUUCACAUACACGCCCUACCAUUUUUUGUUUCUUCUACUUUUCUACCCAAACUUUUUUACAGUUGAGAGAGAGAGAGAGAGAAGCUAGCUAAGUGAGUUACGCAUUUCUGACUCUCAGCCCAUGAGCUUUAUUUAUCACACCCAUAUAUCUCUUUUCUUUCUUUCUUUUUCUUCCCCCAAGCUUUUUCGUCGCUGUGGUCCACUAAAUUUUAGUACCAUAAAUGAGUUGUAUGAUAUAGUAGAUGCCAAAUUCAGGUAAAAUAUGUUUCCGGAAUAUUAUUUAAGAUUUUAUCAUAUCCCACUUAGAAUAGAGUCUACUGUGCUUCUAAAGUAUUAAUUGUACUCUAUAAAAAACACUUAAACCAAAUAUUCGAAACACUACAGAAAUUUUUUUCCUCUGAUCAAAAACGGACAGUGAAUCUUAGCGAAUAAUAAAGAUUUGGAAAUCGAAUGCGCAAACAUUUAGGACUAUGAUGAGUCUAUGGACUUGAGAUGUGAGAGGUAUAUAAAUGAGACAACUAGGUGACAAUAGCUUAUAACGCAAUGAAUAUUAACCAAAUGAUGAUUGGCUUUGCUUGGUUAGGACUUUUUAACUCAUUUCACAGUUUUAAAAGUUUUUUUUAAACAGAUUUUUUUUAAUUUAUUAGUUUUAAAGUUGUAAAAAUCAGAUUUUUUGUUUUUGGUCAUGAAUUCUAAAAAUUAGGUGCAAGUAAUUUUUAUACAAAAAACCUAAGAAAAUAAAUAUAUAAAUUUCUUUUUCUAUUUCUUCUUUCUUCAUAAUUAUUUAAAAACUUUGUAGAUUUAUAUAUAGAUAAUUACUAAUUAAAUUUAAUUAAUUAAAUUUUAUUUUCUGCUUUUUAAGAUAUCUAUUUCUUAAAAAUUUCAAUUUUUUAAAAAGAAAUAUUUUAGAAUAAUAAGCAACAGCUACCGCUUUUACAACCAAAAUUAAAAUUUUAUAACCAAUAGUGUAAAUUAAAAGCUAACAGUAACCAUUCUUACCAAAUAGAUCCAUAGUCUAGUGACCGUCUCGUAGAAUUAGGCUCUCUUUUUUUUCCUAAUACAAAAUAUAAAGAACACAGAUUCUGUCUAAAUUCUUUUAUGAGAUUUCCCGAUUAUAAAAAUAAAUUGUGAUAAAAAUUUUACAAUUUCUUAAAUUAGUAGACCUCCACACUUAUGAACAGUUUAUUAACUCCACCUUAUGAAGAGAGCAGACGUGUGAGUGUGUGAUUUUACUACUUCAUUAAAACAAAUGUUUCUACAAAAUUUGUGGAAAAAUAGUUUACCCUUUACCUUUAUAUACAAACUGAAAUGCGUAAGGAAUCCAGCAACGUGUUCUGAUGCUGUUGACACGUGCGACGCAUGCUUUCAGUUUUUGGUUCUCCAUAACGGACGUACCCCAAAAAGGUGUACAAAAGCUUUUUUUUUAAUUGUAUUAUUUUUUGUUUUUGAUAAAGAAAAUUGUAUUAUUUUCCCUAAUAUGAAGUGUUACAAAUUGUUGAGGGUUAGUUAGUUCAUGUAUUAAUUAGUAUGGAAGUUAGGACUUCUGAAAAUAUGCUUCACCUUGGCCGUUGAUUUUUUAUCCAACUUUAAGGAAUCUCAUCUUUAUUUCUAUUCACGAACACAAUUCUAAAAACGUACGUCAUUUUGUGCUAUACCAUCAGUAAUAUACACCGUUACUUUGAAGUUACAGAUGAGUAUUCUAUUUUAUUCUCUGACAAUUUUACACUUUUAGAUUAUUUUUUUUCUGGCUACCGGAGUAAAUCUUAAACCAAAAUUUAUUAGACUUAUCAUUAUAUUCUUAUCAUUUAAACUUUAAAGCAUAUUUUUAUAAUCAGAGAAAAUCUUCAAUAAUAGUUGUGGAUGGUGAAAUUCGAUAUUUAAACAAGAUACACAGGGCGCAUCUUCACCAAACACCACUUGGUUACUUUGAGGUUUUCUUUAGUGGAAUAAACACCACUUGAUUUCAUAUAUUUGUAUAUGUACCUUCUUAAGACGUCUUUCACUUGCCAUAAAAUCUUUCUUUUUGUGUGUUGUUUUUCUUUCUUAUUCUACAUCAGAGAGUAGAAAUGGUGUUAAUUGAGCAAGUAAAAUAUAUGCAGGCUUGGUGCUUGGCCCAUAGUGUUUUAGCAAAUUAUCAUAUUUAAGAGCCCACAAAGUUUAACCAAAGUUGAGAAUCAAUAUUACAUGCAAAUGAGAUUUAGGUUCUUUUAUAGAAGAACCUAAAUAUUAUUAGUACGUUGGGCCUGAUACCAUCCCCGUUAAAUGAGCAAGUGUCCAUGACACCAUCAUGGCAAAAACUUAUCUAACAUAGUACCAACGUUUUCAAACAAACUAAUUAAAUGCAUAAUUGCAUAUCAUAGAAAUCAUGUUGAGUUGGUUGCCCAAAAAAAAAAAGAAAUCAUGUGGAGUUGUCGAGUCUAAUAGAACCCUAAUUCAACCGUAAAAACUGAUUGUGCCUAAAACACUAUGCUCAAACCAAGCAUAUAAUUGUAAAAAGUUUAUCAGUUAAUACCAUAAUUAUUGGUUUUUUUUGUCUUUCCGUCCCAUAAUGAUUGGGAUGCUGAUAUAAAUUUGCAUAUAAACGAAAAAUACCAUGAGUCUACUAGUUUAAGUUUUUGACAACGAGGACAUAUAUUGACAUUAUUAUUAUUAAAAAAAAUCGUGUCUAGUUGAUAAAACUUUGGGAAUAAAAAAGUGUGGUAGAAGAAAGGCAUCAAAUGCUUUGUUAUUGGGAUUCGCACUGUUUCUGAAUUCCACGAUCUGCCAACCAUCUAUUAAUAUAGUACAUUUUUGAUUUUCUUCUAAUUUGUAAAUUUCCAAACAAUAACAUAUAAAAUAAACAAAACCAAAUGAAUAUAUGUUCUUGGUCUACCUCCCUUCAAUUAGGGAGGGAAUCUGUUUUCUGAUUCCAUUCUUUGCUUAUGGUCAAAAUCAAACAAAAAAAAUUCCAUUUCACAUCCUUUUAUGUUGGAAAACAAUAAUGUUCAACAAAACAAAUUUGAGUUUUAUCAACAAACAAAAUUUGAGUUUAUGUUUUUUUUUUGUUUCCAUGAAAAUGGUGGAAAGUUGACGUUGUUUUCAUAAAGUAUUAUAUAAUAUACACUACAUUACAAUAGAGACAUACUUUUUCCAUUUUCUAUCUUUAUUUCUCUAAAAAUUUCUCCAUUGAAGGCUGCUCUCUAAUAGAUAGAGAGAGAGAGAGAGAAGCAAAUUAAAAAAGCAAUUCCACAAAGGAAAAGAAAGGAAAAUAAUUGGUGGUUUUUGGUCAGCAAAACAAAACAAUUUUGGUUUCGUGAGAGAUUUCUUCACACUCACAAAAAACUAAAAAAAAUAAAAAAAAGACUGCGGCUAAAACAAAGGUGAAAUUUUUACUCUCUUCCAUGGCGUAAGAUGAUUCACUUUGUCAAAGCUUUGUCUUUUAUAUCCGAUCAAAAGGUUUCGGGUUUUGCUUUGGAUCUCCGAGGAUUUAAGGAAUCUCGAUUUAAGCUGGGUUUAGAUUAGUUUAGGGGUUUGAUUUCUGAGAUAGUUUUGAUUUCGAUUCUUAAAGUGUCAAAAGUUUGUUCCUUUUAGUUGAUAUUUUGGGGGAUGGUGUGAGUUUAGAGGUGUAUGGUAGUUUCAUAGUUUCUUCUUCGGUUAUGUGGAUGGCCACACGAUCUAAUUCUGGGUUCCGUCACGAGGAGUCUUUGAGUUCCAUGAUGAGCCGUCACGCCAUAAAUUUCCAGUCGAAUACUUCCUCAGAGAUGAUUCAGAUGGGUCCUUACUUUGGUCGAAGUGGUGCCUUGUUGGGGAUGAAUAUGAUCAAUAAUGUCGCUAGUUCUGGGUUAAUUCAAACUGGGAAUUGUUCGAAUGAUUCGGUUUCUGGGCUCAAGCUAGAUACUUCCUUGGCUAGUGAAUGGUCAACUGAAGAACAAUUCAAAUUGGAGGAUGGCCUUGAGAAGUGAGUUUAUGUAAUUUCUUUCUAUCAAUGAGCCUGAGAUGGCUUAUUUGUGUGUUGAAGUUGAUAUGAGUGAAGAAUUUGAUUCUGUUUUGCAGAUAUAAGGAUAAGCCAAGUAUCAUGAAGUAUAUUAAAAUUGCAGCAACUUUACCUGAUAAAACCGUUCGAGAUGUUGCUUUGCGGUGUAGAUGGAUGACGGUAAACCUCUCUACACCUAUCUGCCAUUUUUAGAGUUUUUGUAGCUUUGUUGCCCUUUUGUAGUCAUGCUAUAUGUGUAUCGCAGAAACAGUGCUAAACUUGCAUUACUUCUUUGCCUGUCCUAGUACACUAUAUAGUCUCCACUCUUUAUAAGUUAUAUAACACUUUAAUGUCGAAACUUUAGGAAAAUGACACAUAGGAUGCAGCAUCUAAGUGUCUAAUUUCGUACAUAUGAUAGAGCACAUAGAGAUUCCUAAAGUAAACUCAACGAAAUGGUUUCUACUUCGAUUUUAUUUGGGUUGGACUUUGCCUUAGGAUGGAAAGUUAGUCUUAUUGUCGCCUGAUUUUGUAACAAACGAGUUCUUGGGAUGAGGAUAGGGAGCAUAACAGUCUCUUGAGUUGGAGUUUUGAGAAAAAUCUUCUCUGAUCUGCAUAAUGAUUUCUUACAUUUUUAUCUUUUGUCUUUGUCCAUCAAAAUACUGAAUCUGUUUUUCACAGAGGAAGAGAAGAAAAGCAGAGGAAUUAUACUGUGGGAAAAGAACAAGUUCUAGCAAGGUACGUAUGUUGGCGAUUCUUGCCAUCUAUUCAAUUUGAUGAGUGACUACUCUUAAAUAACAGUCAAACUCGACAUUUUGUUUGUUUUGCUAAUUGAGAUCAAGUUAGAUAGAAAGAUGAUUGCUAGGAAUGAGAUGGAAUAUCUUUUACAUCUUUGAUAAACUGAGGUUUGGUCCUAAGGAAGGCAGCUGUCUAAAAGAUUUAUAUUUCUUCAGGACAAGCAGGCGGAACUGUCUUCGAGCAUACCUUCUGUUUUGCCUGAUAACAUGGCUUCGUAUCCUUUCUUGAUGCCCUUUACGAGCUCCAGUAAACAUAUUACAUGUGAAGGUCAGCAUCUAUGUAUCUUUAUCAUCCGAAUUUACCAACUCCAGGUCUUUAUUGAUAUGCACACAUUCAUAUCGUAUUUUGUUUUCAAAAGGAGGCAGUAUGUUCUUUUUGCUUGGUGCAUUUACAGUGGCUCAAAAUAUCAGUUUGGUAUAUAUCUGGUCUUCUUUUGUUAGAUAAAUAAGAUGGGCUUAUUGUAUUUCAGAAAGACUUUUGCUCUCUUAGUAGGGUGACUAAGAUAGUGAAGUUGGUGAAUCUUCUUAACUUCAUUGUCCUCUAGAGCCAUUCUUGUCAAGCUGAAUGUACAUCCAUGAAUUUGUCCAGCAUUUUUUCCAUCAUGUUGAUGCAAAGAGAAAUUUCUGAGAUUAUUUAUGUCAUACAACUAGUAUAGGAGUAUAAUGCCUACUGCAUGCUUCUUACAGUAAAAUCUUACGUUGAAGUCCUGUAAGGAUGAUCCCUUUCAGCUGUCUUAAAUAUCGAGUUUAGUUGAAGCCGCUAAUCUUUUAGUCUUGGCUUUUCUUUAACUGUUUCUUUCGUUUUUCUGCCUCAGAUUUAAGUGGACAUGCAAUAAGUCUCUUAGAACAGAAUGUAAGAGCUUUUAGUCAAAUUAGAGCUAAUCUCUCCUCAUAUAAGGUAAGUUAUAGAUUAUCUGGUUUAAAAAGAAUGCAAAUGCGUUCUUGCUAAAAUCGAUCCGUCCUGAUUACGAACAGGUACAGGAUAACAUAGAUCUCUUUUGUCAGACAAGGAACAACCUUAUCACCAUCCAAACUGAGUAAGUUUAAUACUUUUUAACAUUUCUGAUAAAGUGAAUGGAGCUUGGUGGACUGAUGUCUUAAUUUGGCAGCAUGAAUAAUAUGCCUGGCUUAAUGAGCCAGAUGCCACCAUUGCCUAUUGCAAUCAAUGAUGAUCUCUCGGCUACUAUAUUGAGUAAUUCAACUUUGGUAAGUUAAAAGUACAUUGCUUUUUAGAUACCAAAUGUCCACGUUACCGUUUUCUUUGUUUACAUUUGACGCUACUACUGUAGCUCAAACCUCAGGUCUCUGGUUUAAGAGACUCAAAACAUAGAAUUAUUGUGCUUCGAACUAGUUGAGUUUCUUAAGACAUGUUUUGGUUUGAAUAUGAGUCUAUGAAGAGGAGCAUAGGAAUAAUAGCUUCCCAACAGUUCAGAUCGUAUACACAUGUUAUUAGCAAUGACUUUGGCUUUCUUGAUUUGUACCAGGCGAUGCCAUUCAACACAAUGCAAAGUGGCAGCUUCCACAUGAAGCAGGAGCCUUUGGGAUGACUUAGGAAACCAUCUGGUUUCCGUUAAUUACCUGUAAAUUGUCUUAAAGAAGCUGGAGGAAGAAAAAAGAGCACACUACAUCUCUUUUUCUUCAUCCACCGCGUCUCAUCACACGUUGCGAAGUUUGUAGAAAAUGUGAUUCUUUCGUAACACCAAAGAUCUUUAUGGCCACGCCGGAUGUUGAAAACAGGGCAUAAUAUUAAGAAACGAAUAGUCUUGCUCCUGGCUCCAAACUCAAAACCCUCUUGACAAGGUCUAUAGAUUGAUCAACUUAGUUGUGAAUGUUCUUGGAGAAUGCUAAGCGAUGUGUAUAAAAUGAUUUUCUAUGGGAGAUAUAGAAGAGCGUGUUGAGAUUUGUAUCUGUAAUCUUUUGAUCUUUUGGUGUGUUUUGUUUUUGUACCCAUUUCUUCUUAAUAUAUUAGGAUCGAAGUCAUGUUAUAAAGAUCAAUGUUAUCUUCUAAUGUUAUUUAAUAACAUGAUCAUACUAAGUGCGACAGAUAUUUUGGUUAUAUUUUUGUCACUUUUGUCAUGUAGCUAAUUUUAGCCUUACUUUACUAAAUAAGUGAAGUGAACAUCGAAAGAAACUAAGCAAACAAUCUGCAACCUUCAGUUUUGUAUUUACGAGGACAUGAAUGUUUAAAAACAAGAACAAAUACAAGAAUCCAUGGAGACGAUGUUCAAGUAAUAUAAAAAUGAUGGGACCAAAGGGAAAACACUAGAUCAUCCAAUUGAAUCGGUUUUGAGAAGAUGAAACAUGAUCUCCUCCUCCUCCUCUAGACGAUGGAUCAUCAAAGUUGAAGCUUCUUAUGGAUCGAUUGUUGCUGCCAUUUUGGUGAAUAUAGGAAUUAGGAUGAGAGAGGUUGUCGCUGGAAUCGAGUAACACGAAUGGAGAAGUGGAAGCUGUGGAAGCCAUGGCUGUUGCUCCGACCGGAAGUGGGUGGUUAUGUGUUCCUUCGUAGGUUGUUAUCAGUAUCGACAUGUCUUCUAAACACCUUUGCACCUUAAUUCACAAAUGCAACAACUCAUAAAUAAUUGUAUACAUAUAACAUAUUAAAUUAAAAAGGACUAUAUACUAAUAUACAAAUAUAUUCAUUUUCACUAGCAGGUAUGUAAGUUAAUCUAAAAUAGGAUCAUUCUAAUUUAGUGAUUUAUACUAGUGUUUUUGUUAUGUCAUUACAUACUGUUGAAAAGUAAAAACUUUGAUCUAAAAUAACCAACACUAUAUAAUAGUACUUGUCUUUGAAUAAAUAUAGUAUAUGCUUGGUUUGCUAGAUAGCCAAGUUUUUUUUUUUUUUUUUUGAAUCAAAAAUUGUUGAAACACUCGCGGUGGUAAAAUGAUAAGUAUGAGUAUAUUUUUCAUGAGUGAUUUUAAAGAUUUAUACUAAUGUUGUUGUUGUGUUAUUACCUGAGUUUAAAUCUAAUAAAAUGCCUAUUGUUGAAAUUUAUAGGGCUGGUUUGCUAGAUAGCCAUUGUUUAUGAUCAAAAUUGAUGGAAAAAACAGGUGGUAGGAAAAUCUUAAGUAUGAGUAUAUUUUUCGUGUGUAAUUAGAAAAUAGUGUUAUGUCAUCUAAAAUGUUAUCGAACAAAAGAACAAUAUGAUAGCUGUUAAAUAAAACCUUCUUGAAAUCCAUGUUUUCCAAAAAAAAAAUACAUGCGAUAUAUAAAUCACGUCGUUUUUCCUAUCAACCUAAUAAAAUUUUGCUAUCUAGUUUAUCUAAAAAAUUGAGAGUAUAUAUUUCUAGCAGAGCUUACCUGUUUUCUAACGGGACAUCCUGGAGCCACGGUGCAUCGGUAAUAAGCUCUUGGACAUGGAUUCCCUUUCGCCGUUUUCUGACCAUACUUUCUCCAUUGGCAUCCAUCAUUCAUCUAUACUUAAUUACACCAUAAAAUCUUUCUUAAAAUUUCAUGUUACAAAUCUCCAAAUUAUUAAGUCUAAGAUCGGUUAAUAAAUAUAAAGAAACUCACCGUUGCGGUCUCACAUCUCGCUCUUACAGACACCCUGGCCUUUCUAUUCCCUGGAGAAGACGAUAUGACACGUGGUGCAUUCGUAUCUAAGCUGCUACUAUUCAUGAAUCUUUGCUGAUGAGUCUCAUCUUCCUUAUUGGUCUCUUCUUGUUUCUGCUUCUUCUGUAAAGAAAGGGAAAGCCCUAGUUCUCUUUCCUCGGAUUUAGAUCUCCCAGCUCCUCUUUUUCGAGCCUUAUCCACAUACCAGCUGCCUUGUGCGCCAAGGAACGUUUCAAGAUCCUUAGGUUAAAUCAAAGAUAUCAAUCAGGUUUCAUGCAUGUUAAUUCUCACAACCAUAUAUAUGUAAGUGUAUGAAAACACAAGACUCUCUCUAUCUCUCACCAUCUUGUUGGUUUGAUCGAUAACCGGGAGUUUCAUCUCCAGAUGACGAUAAUCUUGAAGGGUUUGCUCUACAAGUUUCCUCAACCUCGUAUUCUCUUCUUUCACAUGUUCCAUCUCGAUCUGCAUCUGCAAGAGCUGAUCUCCAUCCAUGGAUCGAUGUUAACAUAUUUUCACACACAAAAUGUUGUAUACUUUUAUAUAUAGAGAGACGUAUGUCACGUAUCGACGUAUCGUAUGUACCUCUUCACGUUCGUUUUCUUCUUUUCUUGUCCUCGAACCUAAACAAGAUUCGUCGACAUCGUCUUCUUUCACCAUUUGUUCAUCUUCAUCGUCACUAUCAUCAUCAUCAUCUUCUUCUAAUUCUUCUUUCUUCUUACAGCUGUGUUUUGUUCUUUCUUCAUGCUUCUCUUUCUCGAGCUUGAGAGAAAGAUCGAUGUCCAUCAUGGAGAUGCAAAUCAAACCUUUGUAUCUGUUUGUUAGAUUUGUGUUUUGAAGUGCUAAAGUCAAAUCACAUUUCUCUGAUCAGAAUUUUGUUUACUAUUUGUAUUAUUCACUCUAGUACGCAUCUAAAGCUAGCUUUGACUUUCUUUUAAUAAUCAGUUUGUCUUUAAGAUAAAAAAACAAUCCAUGUUAUUUUAAUAAACCGCUUAAGAACCGGAGUUACUAUAGAAUCAUGGAUAGAUCAUAGAUUAGAUGCAAUUUCUUUAAUAGUUUUAUAGCACUUUUUUUGUAAUAUCAAUAUUUGGGCAUUAGGGUCCAGGAAAUUUCCCAUCACAUGUAUGGUACCAUGUGAAAUACAGAAGACCAUAUCGACGAGCAUAGUUUUUUUUUUCAACUGGUAAUUUAUGUGUUUAUAAUCGAAUGCGUUAAUUUUUUCGUAUAAAACAUGCAUAGCUCAAAAUCAAAAAAAAAAAUUAGUGAGAUCGAUCAAAACGUAUGAUGUUUUCUCUCUUUUCUCAAUUCAACAUCAGAGGUCUAAAAAUCAAAGCAUCAAACAUAUUUCUCAGUUCAACAUCAGAAGUCUAAAAUUCAAAGCAUCCACAAUUUAUAUAAUGAGUUGUAUUGUUAUAUAACGUCGUUUAUAUUCUAGAAUUCUACUACUAAAGUUUUGCUGAAAUUUUCUAACAGAUAUAAAUAAAAUAGCUAUAGAAUGCAUGCGCGCGCAGCCAUCAUGGUACUUGCUACAUAGACGCGCUAGGGGGAAAGAUGAUCUUGAUUCUCUGAAUUUUCUCAACUUCUUUGCCUUUUUUUUUUCUGGCGUUAGGCUAAUUCACCCUUUUAUUUAUCCGAUUAGCUAACCUACGAUAUUAUUUCUCUUGUUAUUCGAUCUAUCUACAGUUGAUGUUGAUAGGUUUGGUUUGAAUUGUAAAUAGUCAUAUGUAUGUGAUAUAUGAAGUUGAAUUUGUAAGAUUCUUUUAAGCUUUGUACGUGUCAGUGCAUAAUUUGUUGGCGAGAACGACGGAUUGUAUGAUUUAUUUUUUCAUCAGUCAACUAUGGUUAUAUGAUAUUAUAGAAGGUAAACAAAGGUCAUUAUAAUAAAACCUUGUCCCUCUUCCUAAAUAACUAAAGCCAUGCCAUUUUAGAUAACAAGUCAUUUUAUAUGUGACAUCAUUAUUAUAAUUAUUAUUGUGCCAUUUUAUACGUCCAAUUACCAAUUAAUAUAUUCGUACGAAAAAACCAAGAGCAAUAUAGUUGCAUUUGGAUCGGAUCUUAAGAUAGUCAACUAGAAAAGUUUCAAUUUUAAUUAUUUUCAUAUUAUCUUAUGUAGUUAUAUAUGUCACAUUCAUUUUAUAACCUUAUUUUUCUUACCAAAAAUUUUUAGGCUCUGGUCCAUAAUUUUGUUAGACAAUUUAUAACAAGUUAGGUUUAGAUGGUCAUCUCUAUAGAGCCGAAUCAAACACUUGACUUUAUUAUAAAUUAUAAACUCAGAUUAUGAAUAACUGCGUAUUGGUUAUUUACAAGACAUUUCAAUUCUAGCAUAUUGUCCACAUGACACUUGUAAGUAUUUAAACUUUGUUUAUUGGUCAAAAGUAUUAAAAAUUGCGUAGUCAACAAUAACUUGAAUAAACCUGUAAACGGAAUCCUUUUUUUAGCUAAAAUAUAUCGAUCAUCUACUAUUUGAGGUGAUGCAAUAAUGUAUUAUAGUUGUUGUGUUUAGCAAAAAAAAAAAGUGUGACUCGUGACAUAUAACUUGUAUACAAUUGUGAUUGUAUAGCCAAACACACAUUGUUGCAAUUUGAAUCAAAUGAUACGUGAACAUUUCAGCAUAACAAUAAUAUGAUGCUCCAUCCAUCUAUUUAAUAAGCGGGAUUUAGUUAAUUAUGCAUGUGUCAAAAAAAAAGUAUGCUUCGGUUCAAAAAAAAAAGAAAAGUAUGCAUGUGUUUUAUAAUCUUACCAAAAAAGGACUUUGUUGAUAAAAAGAGACAUUAAUAUUAUAAUAUAUAGUAUGAUAAAGAAAAAAAAAAUUGGCAGAGGAAGCGUGGGACAAGAGAGCAAGCGGCGCCGCAGCCAUAUCUUCCGUUGGAAUUUUUAUUUAUAAUCACAAGAAAGAAAAGGUCAAAUGUAUUUUUUUCCCUAUGUCUCUUUGUAUGCAUAUUAUGGUUUCUUCUCUCGUUUUACAAUCUAUCUUUGUGUCCCUCAAGUCAAUCUUUUGAUUGAAAUCUAAUCUUCGUCUUUAUACAUUGUUGUUUUUCCCCUUUCUUCUUGCUGCAUUUUAUUAGUGUUCAAAUAAUCCGCAUAUUCUUUUUACUUUUAAUCAAAGAAUUAAAGUGUGAAUAAAGAGUCUAUUGUAAUAUUAUUGAAAAUUACUUAGAUCUAGCUCUAGCUCUAGGUCAACGUAUGUAUGACUCUGCGAAGCCAGCUACAAUCUCCCAAAAAUUCCAGAGGUGCCCAAUAUCCAUAGUAGUUAAUUAGCUCCAAGUCCAAACACAUACUAAAUGUUGUAAAACCCCUAAGUCAUGCAAAAGGCAUCCUUGUUUGACAAGGCAACCAAGCGGUCCAAGCCUACCAAGUUGCACCAUGAGCACUUUUUAUUUAUUUUUGAUCCGCAGCCAAAAUGGUCAAGAUUUUUUUAAGCUAUAUGCUUUCAAACGACUAAACAAUAAUUCCAGUUUCCAUAUACAUUGUAUGUAUAUGUGAUCGUAUUAGUUAAAUAGUUAAAAUCAAUUCAUUCUUAUGAAAGCCUUAUUGAUUCUUCGAAAUUCAAUCUCUCACAACAUAGUAUUAGAUACAUUGAUCAAUGAUGACGAGAUAUCAGUUAUGUUAAAUAUAUAUCACAUUUCAAUAGUAAACACACCUAUUGGAGAUUUCGAGCGUUCUAUCAUUUCAGCUUUGUAAAAAUACUGUCAAAAUUCAUACAAGUUAAUGUGACGACGGUUUACGAUAACUACGUUUCUGAUUCGUGGUCAGGCCCAAUCUAGAAUCAUGAUGGGCCUUAAAAAGGCUUUGAAACCAUGGGCGCGUCAGUAUGACGCACGUAAAGGACGCGUGGAGGUGUAGCUCAAUCACACGUGGCGAGAGGAAAGAGAAACUUCGAAUCCAGAGCUUUGGUGGAGCCGUGGUGGCGCUUCCACGCGAAUCUCGCAGCCCCACUCGCUAUCCUCGUCCUCCCGCUCGUCUCUCUACCUUCGUUAUCUCCCUCUCGCUCGCUCGAUCGAUCAAGUCUCUUUCUCUUCGUACGCUGUUUUUGGAACCCUAAGAUUUAAUCCCUAGAGGUGAAAUCUCUGUCGCGUCUUCUUCGUUCCACUCUCUUCGUGUAUAUACAGCGAUCUGGGUGUUUUUUUUUUGUUUGGACGGAUUUUUCUAGGUGAUUGAUGUAAUCAUUUUGAUUCUCGCUGGGAAUUUGAAUUUUGUGUAGUUGUGAUUUCGGAAUUUUGACUUGUUAGGUUUCGGAUUUUGAUUCACGAGUGGUUGAAACGUUGUUGAAUUGUUUAUCUCGAUAAUCGCAUACCCAAUCUGGGCAUUUUUAAUUUUUGAUUUCUGGGGAUUCAAGGAUCGAGUUAUCGUGAAGAAGAUGAAUUUUUUUUUUCUUUUUUGGAUAACAUUUUUAUUAUAUAAAUUUUCUCUGGAUCUGAGAUGUGUGAAAAGUGAUUUUUCUCCAUGUGGAUUAGAUUCAUGGCAUGAAUUUUAAUAAUUGAUUCACUGUCAUGUCGCUUGAAUGUUCGAUGAAGCACGUUCCUUUUGGUUGUCCUGUAACACGUUUGGCACAUCUUUUAAAAAAAAAACAUUAUUUCACUAGUUAUUCUUCAUCUUUGUUUUCCAUGAAUUUUGGAUUUGGUUGCUUAAUGAUCUUAGUCAUUGUGUUGUUAUCUUGAGAGUUUGAAUCAUCCUUCUAGGCUUCCGAAAUUGUGAGAGGUAUCUUACUUUUCAUUUGUUUGAUCUCUUUUUCGUUUUGGAGAAUCAGGUCCUUAACGAACUUCUUUGCUUUGAUCUCAGUUUCAUUAGAUUGCAUUCGUAUAACCAUCGAUGAUUUGCUCAUCAUGCGAUUCCAAUCUUAAUAUGAAUAGCUUUUUAUAUUGUUACUUCUGCUAGAGGUGAAGUCUCUGUUGCAUGUUGUAACAUCUGCUUGUUUCGUUACAAACUUUUUAUAUGCUUGCUUUUGCUAAUCGAAUGUCUACUUGUUCAGGUGUCAUUUUGAGAUUAUGGCCAAAGCUAGAAGGACAAGUCGCAGGAUCCAUUCGCGACGGAUCAGAGCACGACCAUACAAACUUCCGUCGUCUAACAAGCUCGGGGCAAGCAAAAUGUUUGCAGAAGAUUGUUCAAAGUGUCUAGAGAAGAGGGACUGGGAGAAUGUAAUAUGUUCGGUUUGUAUGGAGUGUCCUCACAACGCUGUUCUGCUCCUCUGCUCAUCUCAUGACAAGGGUUGUCGUCCAUACAUGUGUGGAACCAGUUUCCGAUAUUCCAACUGCUUGGAUCAGUACAAGAAAGCAUCAGCUAAACUAAAGCCAUCGAGCCAUCCACCGAUCAAUAAGUCUGAGCUUGGAAACCUCAAGUGCCCACUUUGUAGAGGGCAGGUGAAAGGUUGGACCAUCGUGCAGCCUGCGCGUGACUAUCUGAACCUAAAGAAGAGGAUCUGUAUGCAGGAGAAUUGUGUUUUUGCUGGAACCUUCAAAGAGCUGAGGAGACACAUGAGAAAAGACCACCCUUGUGCGAAGCCUCGUGAAGUUGAUCCUGAUGUGGAGCAGAAUUGGAGAAGGCUUGAGAUAGAGCAUGACCUGGAUGAUGUUACCAGCACGAUUAGGUCGACAAUGCCUGGUUCAGUGGUGUUUGGAGAUUACGUUAUAGAGAGGACCAACGUCCACGGUUCAGAUUCAGACGACGGUGCUGUUCAUUACAAUGUUGACGGCGUCAUCGAUGCUGGACUUUUGAAUGUUGUCCUUAUGUUGCAUUCUCUUGGGGCAUCAGUGAAUCAGACAAGACGCUCUGUUUCAGAUUCGAAUGACACGACUAUCAACCGUGGAAGAAGUGAGAUGAAUUUCUCUGGCGAGGAGGAGGAGGAAGACGACGAUGACGAUGAGGAGAGGCAGCACAGUAACUCUUUGGCAAGUCGAAUGAGACGACAAGGACGGGUUCUGCUGGGACGCUCAGGUAGGAGACGUAGAAAUAGAGAAGCUAACAGCUCAGGUCCUCCUAGAUGAGUGAGCUUAUUACACAAACUCAAAAAAAACAAAAACCCUUUGGUCUGAUUCUGGGUUUCAGGUAAGUUUUAUGGUAUGGUUAGGUACAAAUGUAGUUUCCCACAAGUUCAAAACAAACAAAAAAAGGGUUUUGACCUGUGAACUUCUUCUGCUUUUACCAUUAGAUAAUGGUUUGGUGUUUGAUAAUUUGGGAAUUUGACUCAAAUUUGUUUUCAUGGGCUCUUGAUUGUCAAAGAAGCAUGUUUGGUAUUUACUCGGUUUUACUGUAUCCUGAUGUAACUUUCUCGGUAGAAAUUUACAUAAAUUUAUCCUUGUGAAUAAGCAUGUUAACUGAUGACCAGUAACCACAACACAUGAAGUCUCUUCACCAAUCAUGAACAAUGUAACUUUGUACCCUGAAAUCUGUUUGUUUUUGUUUGUUGGUUUCGAGUAUCCACAGACUUAUAUGAAACCACCAGCACUCGGAAAAACAUCUAAUGAUUGAUUUAUCUGAAUAACAUGUUAUCAGUUUUGUGUUUAGUGUAUUAUUUAUUUUGGGCUUCUAUAAAUAAAUUGGUGGGGGCCUUACUCUUACUAUCUCUUCUCUCUUUUUAUUUUUAACUCGUCGCUGUCGAGUUUUGUCUUGUCCCCAUUUUUUUGGGCAAAUUACAGAAUCAAUAAAUGGAGGAGGGUGAAUGCGAUUGUGAACAAAUUGACAAAAAAAAAAAAAUAAAUAAAGAGAUUCUGGUUUGGAAUUGGGCAAAAAGUGGCAUGCACCAAACAAGAAGAAAUUUGGAAAUGAGAGAGAUAAAAACAAAUGGUAAAAUGGUCCAUUUGGUCCAGGGAAAGAAAAGGGUUAUUACGUAUAAUGUUUAAGAAAUGAAUCUUAGUCUUACUUCUCAUCUCGGAUAUUUAUAAAAGCUUCUCUCCAUGUUCUUCAAAAUUUCAUUAAACAAUUAAUUCAUUGUACGUUUCGAAUAUAAAAUAUCUCUAGCCGAAAGCGUUAUCAAGAAGACUAGAAGAGGGAGAGAGACAAAAGAAGGUCGUUUAAUUGAUUAUUACCCAAAAAGGAGGAAAAAACAUUUUGGCUUUUUAAAAGUUUGAGGUAGAAUAAAGUUUAUACUUUUAUGGAUGUGGUAUUAUUGUCUUUUAUGUUUCCUUUCUUUUUUGCAUGAUUUAGCGUCAUCGUUUAAUCAUAUUAGAAGUUUAUGAACAUAUAUAUAUAGUAUAAGAAUAUUUGCAAUGCAGAUAUGCAUGAGAAAAAUGAUGAUAACAGGUUUUUGUACCUUUAUCAUGUCGCAUCAUGUGACAUAACCACCUAAACGAACCAAUCCAUGUGAUUGACACCACCAAAAAUACACAAUAUCAACAACAGUUCGACACCAAAAAGUAUGUUGAUAGGCCACACUUUACUUUAAAAAUGGAUAAGAGAAAACUUUGUUUAUUAACCAAAGAAGUGGUUUGUUUAAUCGCUGAUUAUAAUAAGGGCGUGUCUAACUUUCACUUCGAAUGUUAUUCGUUUGAACCACUAUGAAACAAAAUUCUGAACAAUAAAAUCACAGUAUAUAUAUACAUAAUAUCCGUAAAAACCAUUUCUUCGUUGAAUAUCUAUUUUUCUCUAUGAAGAUUACAUUGUAUCAUGUUUUCUUUGUAAAUCGUUGUAGGUUUGAGUGGCGACAUUUUAUCUUAUACAGAACAUUUUCUAUUGUCUUAUAUAACUAUGAAUUGGUAAAGAUCUCGCUCUUGUGAUUUCAGUUUGUAAACUCGGUUUCCUUAGUUUGGUUAACUAAACCAGUUUAUGAAUAUAUCAUUACAUGUUAUUGGUGACGCUAUACCGUUUAUAUUUAUAUUAUCUCAUAGAAACGAUAAAAAGAUCGAGAUGCAGAUUUAGCAGUACAACAAAAAGAACCUAACGACAGAAAGUUUUGUACAAUUAAAUUUCCUUACCAAUCAAAAUUAUAACUGAAUUGGCUUUUGUUCGCCAGUUUACCAUCUCUUAUGAAUCAACUUAUAUCAAAAACGUGAAAGAAAUAAAAGGCUGAACAGACAAAAAAAACGAAAUCAUUUGAAAAAGAAAAACAAAGGAAAAUUAUACAAAAACAACUAUAAAGAGUGGUCCAAUAAUAAGUAAAAAAUAUUUCUAAGUAACAAAAAUAUGAAAAUAAGAUAUAGUAAUAUUUAAGAAUGGUGUCGUCACGAUGUGACAAGACAUAUAAAGGUGAAUUCAAAAGAAGGAGAAGAAGGAAAUCAUGGAAGUGAGUGAAGAGGGGUCUGAUGAGAGAGACUGAUGCCUGACUCCUAACCAUUUCAAACUUUGGCACUGAAAAUCAUGGCUUUUUAUAUUUUCAUCAUUUGUUAGUUUUUUUUUUCGUCGACACCCACUUCUUCUGCUCUGAAAAUGACUUUUAUUUUCUCCUCUCCCCUCUCUAUACAUUUUCAUCUUUGUAUCAGUAUAAUUCUCACAUUGAUUGCGGCUUUGACAUGAAUGGGUGAACCUUUUAUUAUAUAGUUUUGUUCCUCCCAUAUUAUAGCACACGGUCACUCAAAACUCUGCCCCCAAGAAAAUUAUAGUUCUUUCACUUGUCAAUUAAUCUCUUACAAUAAAUAAGGUUUAAUUGGUAUAUGAUUAAUUUGGGAGACAAAAAUAGUGUUCGCUUUCAUUUUGAUGUUAAAACAGCAUGCUGAUUUACAAUUCCAUUACUUUCUUUCGUCUGUAUUUUUGAAAACUUAAUAAAAAUCGAGUAAGUUUGUGUAUUCAGAUAAUUUUUAGCUAUCCAGGUAGGCAAUUUAAAUAUCUGGAUAGUUGUCAAUAUGCAUUCUUCCCUACUAAUAUAUAUUAUACUAAUCCCAAAAAAAUUACUUCCAAUUCCAAUUAUCUUUAUCUUAAAGUUUGCAUAAUUCAGGGUAGAUAGAUUCAAGUGAGAUCAAGUAAUGUGACCAAUAAUAUAUUAUGACUCUAAUAGAUAUAUAUAUCUUCACACACAAAAUUACGACGAACAGUUAUACUAUAGAUAUGCUGAAAAUUUCUGACUUUUUUUCCAGUAUUGUGCAUUAUGGGAAUCAAACCCUAAACCUAAUGUAUAGAUUUUAAUAAACUUUUGGUUAGCCACUAAAACUUAAAAAAAAAAAAAUCACAAUGUUCUAAAAUAUUUGGAGUAGAUUCAAAUUGAAAUUAAUUCUAAUUAACUCUUCUAUUUUUAUCAAAAAUGUAUUUUUCUAAUUUUUUAAAGGGUAAAAGCAUCCACUAAUUUCCUUCGACUAUAACCUUGAAACUACAUAAUUCAUAUUUAAACUUUUUAAACUAUAUAUGUAAUUUACCAAAAUAUUAUACAACUUAGUUACUUAUGCUCUAGUAGUCUGGUUAUUAUACAUUUCGUUACUUAUGCUCUGGUUGAUAAAAACAUGAUCGUCGGAACCUAGUCGGCGUAGAGGCCAUAAAAAGACCGUGGAUCACAAAAAGAUUUGAUAACAUCUAUAUACAGUUUAAACACAUAAUAUAAUAUGAAGCUAGAAGACAGAAAUUAAAGUAUUGUAAAAAGAAAAGGCAAACUUUAGUUGAAUCCGAACUAACCACAUACAUGUGUCAAGCAGUAAUGCUUCUUUCUUCUUCUUUUUUUCUUUUUUGUAUACAACCAAAAUUAACAAUAAACUAUUCAACACUGAAUAUUCUUUCACCAACCCUCGUUUUCUAGGUUUGCUCAGCAACAGUCAUUACUACAUUUACAAAUAGCUAAAAUUAACCUCUUCCUUUUGAUAAUAGAAAAAUAUAUAAAUACGGCCAAUUUCUUAUAUUAAAACGUAGUUGCUGACUUUCACUGUAAAUCAGAAAAUAGAUAUUGGAUGUUUUAUGUCCAUAAGAUGUUCGAUGAUAUUUUAAGGUUUUAUACCAACUCGAAUGCAUAUUUUUCAUUCUUAGCCAAUGAAAAUCAAUGAUGUAAAUAAAUUAAAGGUUUGCAAGACUUGUGCUUAGUGAUCGUUAAUCAUUUAAUUGAUGAGCAUACUAACAUCGCUAGUUAAACGUCAACCAUUUCUAAUCAAAAAUCUUCCGCCAUGAUUCAUAUCUUUGAUAUAUCUUUGUUUUCUUGCCUUUCUUAAUUGGCCAUUCAUUUAGUCAUUGUUUAAGUCAUAUUUACAAAAACUAAAAACUAUAUUAGUUUAAUUAGCUUAAAUAUAUAUAGUAUCUUGAAUUUUUAGUGAACUAUAUCUUCUUAUCCUGGAUUCGACCCUUUCAACUACAAUUCUUGUCCCUGCACUUAUAAUAGAGUUAUUCAGAUUUAUUAAAACUUAAUUGAUAUCAACUGUUAUUAUUUGGUUUUGCUUUUACCGGAUUUCGAUACCGAUUCAUCAUUUUAUGGGGUGGAUAGAUUGAUCGCUUGUCGAUCUUUAACUUGCAUGCAUGACCGUAGCUUGCAGAUUUAGCACUUAUCAUUUUUAGAACAUGCUACAAGAACAGGCGUGUCUGACUUAUUGCGUCAAUGAUGGAGUUUGUACCAUCUCGGAAAGUUGUGUACACUUUGCGUCCCAUCGUCAAUCUGCUUCUAGCUUUCCUAUUUUUGUUGGUUUCGGGGUCUUUCAAGAAAAUGCAAAUCUUUAAAAUAAUAUUUGAUUUGGACUAAGUAUAUACUCUUUCUUAUUACUUGUUUUUGUGAAAAUUUUAAUGGUGUAAAGCAAUCGGACCAAAUUCCAAAUGACCAAGUGCCCACAAGGUCACACGUAAAGUUUGCAUACGGUGGAAACGAAUUCGAAAUUGCAAUGUGUUCGAAAUUGCAAUGCCGUGUUUGAGCACAAACUUAUGAAAUAUAUGUUUCAAGGCCAAUAUUUUUAUAAAUUAUUUGAAGGCCAAUUGCAAAAGAAAUUAGUUAGUUUAGUGGUUUUAUGGAUUAAUGUUGUGCGAGCUAAUGUAGGUUCGAUUCCUUCUAGAUGCACGAAUUAGACAUUUAUUCAUCUAUUUUUCAAAAGUCAGUUUUUAAGUUGUCCCACAUCGAAAAAUUGAAAAAAAUUAGAAGGGAAAAUGAGUCAAUUUUUUUUUUGCUUGUAACCUGAGAAAUCUUAGGCAUGACUCUGGUUCUAUAUAUUUGAUUUUGAUCUAAUAUCACCGUUCUACCACACGCGGAUCAAUAUUAUAUUUUAUAUAGUAUACGUCAUACCUAAUCUUAAUUAGUAUAUUAUAUAAUUCGAGUAUUUUUAAUAAGUCGGUGAGAAGAGAAACGAUGAUUAUAAUUUAUACUGUAAGACCAUCUCCAAUGUAAAUCUCCAUUUUUUACUCCAAAUUGGAGUAACUCCAAAAUGGAGUUGUAUUUUGCUCCAAUGUAUGACUCCAUUUUUGACUCCAAAAAAGAAUAUUCCUAAUAGAUUCUAUUUUUCUUUUACUUUUAAUAAUCGAUAACUUUUAGAAGUUACAAAAUAACCCAUUUAUUUUUAUUUUAUCUAAAAUAUUUGUAAUUUACGAAUUUAAUAAAAUUAAAAUAUUUAUUAAAUAAAAAAUUACAUAAAAUCAUAAAAACAUAAGAAAUUUAAGGCUAUGUUUUAUUUUUGAUUUGUAGAGGAAUUGUAUUCCUACUUUUUGAAUAGUAACAUUUUUGUUUUUUAUUGAUAUGCAAGUCAAAGUGAUAUGUGUCAUACAAAUAUUAAGUGUAUAUCUGAAAAAAUGCAUAUAGCCAUAUAUAAUGUCGAAAAUAAUGCAGUGUUGAUAAAAAGUAUAAAAUUAUAAUGAUUUAAUAUUUUAAGGAUUAGAUUGUAAAUAAAAAAAGUAUAGCUGCAAAAUGGAGUAGAAUAAAGGUUUAUUCCAAAUAUGAAGCAAUCUCUAUUUUUUCUCUAUUUUGCAGUCAAAAAUGGAGUAGAGUUGGAUUGAAAUUUACUUUAAAAUAGAGUUUGCAGCAAAAAAUGGAGCAGGGUUGAAGAUGCUCUAAAUCUUUGGUGAAAAAUGACAUUUAUGAUGUAUAUUAUGUACUAGUACAUUUAAAUACCAUAGAGAGUGAGGCAUAAUAAUAACUUUGUAGGAAGUUAUUUAUUAGAGUAUUGAAGAAUCCCACAUGGCAACCAUGCAAGCGUUUAGUUCGUAAUUAUGACUCGCACCAAUUAUAAAUAUCUCGACUGGUUUUUGAUAGGUGAUUAAUAUCUUUACGUGGUGAAACCAGUUGAACUUAAUAUAUUAGUACUAUUUUCUUUAGCAGCUAGAAAGGUGUUAGACAAAGAUGCAUCACAUAAUAAAACCUACAAGUGAAUUAGUGAACUACUGGUUGGUCAAUAGAUUAAAUUUCUAUAGAUUUUUUAAAAAAACUAUAGAAUUUAUAGUAAAAUCAAUAACCAUAUAUAUCAUACUAAAACAUAAAAAAAAACCAAAAUUUCUUUGCUUCGUAAAAACUAAGGUGUGGCCAAAGAAAAAAAAAACUAGGAUGAAGCUAUGGACCAAUGGUUUUUAAUUAUACGCUUUUUUUUCCCAAAAUGAGAAGUUAAUGACCCUAAAAUUAAAUCCGAAUAUAUAUUAUUUCAUUAAGUAUUUAAGUGCAUUGCUGCAUUGCACAUCAAAAUAUUAGGGUCAAGACUCAAGAGAUAUCUUAUGAAUUUGUUUUGUUUUUAUGCGAAAAGAUAUGAUUUUCGUGUUUAGUCACAUUGAGACCAAAAAGGCAAAACCCACAAAAACGAGAUAAAAUAAAAAUUCAAUCAAAAUUUUUUUUGACGUCAUUCAAUAAAAGUUAAAUUUACAAUUACAUAUACUGUACUACGUCGUCUACAAACUAAAGUGUACAGAAACGUGAGAUAUGGAGAGAAAAUAGUCUACCUGAGAAUCUUAUACGCACGAUUUGACCUCAUCACUUUCCUUCGCAUUUAAUGCAGUACUUGUGUGUGUGUGUUUUUUUUUUCUUAAUAAUAUGCAAACCAUGUACUGCAUUUUAUUUUAGUUUUUCUUAAUCUUGUGUGUGUGUUUUUUUCUUCAACUUAUGGCUCAUUAAGUAAAAUUAAAUUACAUCAUUUUUUUUUGUCUGUUUUUUUUCUUUUUGAAAGUUAUUGGUAAUUGUUCUUGAGCUAUAAGCCUAUAACCCAUUAACCCGUUCGUUUAUUACACUAACCAAAGUUAAAAUAUCCAGCAACCAGCCACAGACCCAACCCCAUAUUUCAUAUAACAAAUUAAACCUUUCUUCUUCGGUUUAUGUUUUUGAAAAAAAAAAAAACAAACCAAGAAUAUAUAUAAAAAACAAAAGAAAACCCCAAAGAAUACCAAAAGAUCAUCUUCAAUUUCAAUCAAAGAACAAAAAAAGGAAGAAUCUUUGUUUCUUUUGUGUCUCUUUUCAUCAAGGUCUAUGACGAUGCUCUAUCACUCGCUUUUUCACCUUCAGUAGUCGCUGAAGACACAUAGCUCACGGCAAGAGAGGUACUCUCAUCGGUACAAGGCGGCUGAGUAAUAGGAGGAAGAGGAGGAGCUGAAGCAGCACUAGCUUGAAAGUGUUGCUUACAAUUAUGGCAAGUGAUUUGCAUCAUCGUUGCACUAAUCCUCCUACUUGCUUCUUCUCUAAAAACCUGAGCUUUGUGGAGCUCAGCCUUGGCAUGUUGCCUUAUCCUCUUGGCUUCAGCAAACUCUAAUUCCGCAAUCUCUAAUUGCCUCUUGGCUUCUCUUCUCGCCUCUUCUCUUUGUCCAAAUAAUAAGCUCGUCUCUCCUUUCUCGUAGCUUGACAUUGUCGUCUCCAUCCCUAUAGACAAACUAAGGCUGGUCUCAUCAGCACUAUUCCGC
rnacentral:lncRNA from 1 species